rnacentral:lncRNA from 1 species
UUGUUUUUUUUUUGGUGGGGUUUUUAUACGCAGCAGACUAAGUGGAGAGCUUUGUUUUUUUUUGGUGGAAAGUUGGGUUCUGCUAUAUUUUCACACUCCACCCUUUUUUAGUUUGUCCUUAUGUGGAAAUAUCUAACGUAUCCCUAUCCCAUCAAUUAACGUGGAGCCUGACUUUUUUGUGGUUGCAUCGUUUGCCUUUUGUGGUUGCAUCGUUCGCCUUCAAGCACACCCAUUCUUAUUAAUAACUUGACUUUUUUGUGGUUGCAUAGUUCGUUCGCCCCAAGCACACCCAUUCUUAAUAAUAACUUGACUUUUUUGUGGUUGCAUCGUUCGCCUUCUAGCACCAUUGGCCUUUUACAUAAAGUAGUGAUGCGGUAUUUGUUAGUUAUGACUGUUGAUUGAUUGAAUGAUUAAUUUAUCUGGGCGUGUGAGUGGAGGAUUUGGAUUCUCUUGGUUGAUGUAGGAUUCUCUCUUCUCUUUUUUUUUCCCUUCCUUUCCAUUAUAUUCGAACAAUCACGGUUAAGUCACGUCAACAUCUUAUAUUAAUUUUUUAUAACAAAAGAAAGACAAAAUAAGAGAAUGUGCAAGGAAUGAUAGAAAAUGAUGGAAAGAGGAAAGAAGAGAAUCCUAGUCCCUCUUAGUCUUCUUGGCACGUUCAGUUUUUUCCUUGUUUUUCUAAUCAUUUCUUCAUUUUUUUUUCUUUUCCAGUUUUUUCUUAUUUAUCUAUCUUUUCCUGAUCUGUUUAAUGUUAUUUUACAAAACUACAUUUGGAGAUGAUGAAUCAAUUUUUCACAUUAGUCUUGAAUUUUUUUUAAGGACUUUUAUGUCUUAUUAUCUUCUGACGAAGCCUUGUGACUCUAAAAUAAGGUCCUGACUUUCAAACAGCAAAAAUUUGAUUUAGUUUAUCAUUAUCAUAUAUUAGCCCUCUACGCGGACGGGUAAAAAUGAAAUUAAAUUAGAAACACCUAUUUAUUAGAGAGAGUACCAGCGAGGGUGAGCAACAUGAAAAACAAGAAAAGCUAUCGGGACCACCGCGUGUGAGUUGAGCAGAAUAAGAAACAAGAAACUAAAAAGCCGAUUCGAGGUCUCAUUUUCCUUGUAGUAACUAACACUGCGUCGGCAACAAAAUUUGCUAUCUUCUUAGUCUUGCUAAUAUAGUGUUAAUUUCGUGAGCACGUGUCUUCCUGACCAUGUUUGUCUACAGCCCAAGUUCCAAAUCCCACAGUCCUAAUUUCGUGAGCACGUGUCUUCCUGACCAUGUCUACAGCCUACAAAACAUUAAUUCAUCCAAAAAUAAAAAGACAUAUAUAAACGUCAAAAUUAUUAAGUGUCACGAAAAAUAAAUCCCAAAUUUUGUUAUAGAUUCGUAUUAAUUAGCUUGAUUGCAAAAGACUCAUAUGUACCAAGUUUCGUUGCACUAAUAUUAGAUCACAUAAGAAAUUCCAAGAAGCAAUUCAAGAUCGAAGUUGACGAUAUAAUCUCAUUUUAUUUUUAUGGAUGAGUUACUUUGCUAGCUAGCUUUCCAGUACUUUUGCAUGCUAUUACAGUUGUUUCAUAUUUAUCGAAUAUGAUAUGGAGCAUCACUUGGAGAUGUAACGGUAGCGCAAACAACAAAGUUUAUUUAUUUAAUUAUUUUUUUAACAAAUGAUAUUAUCUAUACUAAGGGGAGAGGGUGGGCUUAACCUCACAAUGAGCUAGCAAUAAUAUGGUAUAAACUCGCAUUUGGCGAGAAUCGAACCUGAGACUUCUCACUUACAAGUGAAGAGGAAUACCACUAGACCGUAAUACUAAAUAGCAACAACAAAGUUUAAUUGCCUGCUAUGUUUACCUUAUCAUGUUAUUUUUUUUGUUUCAAUUCGUCUGAGAAUGUGAAGAAUUUUAGUUUGGAAAAGAAACAUACAAGACAACCAUUGUUGCCGACCAUGGCCAUAUACGAGCAUUGUCUAAAAAUAAAGAUUUAGGUUAAAGCAAAAAACAUCUAUAUUUACAUUAUUUUUUUUUUGUCAAACAAGGCAGCUAUAAUUUCUACUCACUGGUUACAAUUUUACAUUCACAUCUUGUUAGGCCAUUUAAAAGAAUGAAUGUAGUGCGGGGUGCCGAGACGGAUCAUAUAUGAUUACUUUAUCAAGGGGAAUGGCAUCUUCCUUUUAGACACUGAUUAACAAAGAAAACAACAUUAACAGAAGGAAAAUUAACUGCUUCUGAAAAGGGAAUUACAUGGCGGGAACCAUUGAGUUUUCCUAUAUCAUAGUGUUUUGCCUUCAGGUGUAGAAAAUUGAAAGCGCGUUGCACGAUUCCAUAGUUUAAAGUCAUAACAAAAUAGGUGCACGAUUUCAUCUUUUUGAAAGUCAUAACAAGAUUUGAUUAAGCAUGUUGCCCUCUUAGAGCAUCUCCAGUGGAAUCCCUAUAUAGGGACAAAUGAACCUCCAAUGAAUCGAAAAGUGAGUUUCUAAAGUAUACGGACUCGUCGGAUACUUAGUCUAUGUACCCAUAUGUAGGGACUCUAUAGAGACUGAAAUGGUGGACCCGAUAGGACAAUUGAAGUGAAAUGGUAGGCGUGGGUCCUAGUCACAUGGCCUUGCAUUUUUUUUUCUCUUUCUUUUCAACCGUUUAAAGUGGAGGGUCUUGAUUGAUUCUUGCUUUUCAAAUUUGUUACCAUUGAAAGAUCAACGGUUCUAAUUAAAUAACUAUUUCAAUUUAGGUUACUCUCUCAUGUUGGUUUUCAAUUUUAUUUUUCUCUUUUCUUAUUGCCUCCAUUGAAAGAUUAACAGUUUCAAUUUGGAUUACUCUCUCAUGUUGUUCUCUCAUCAUUCCUAUAAUCACCAUAUUAUCUAACCAAAACUUACCGCAACUUCAUCUCCUUACAAGAACGUAAUGUUAAAUUAAUUCAAAAAAAUGUUAACAUAAAUAAGAAAUGUGCACCUAAUCAAAUUAUCACAUAAAAUUGUAAAAACCUCAAAUUUAGGGAUUCUACUAUAAGGACUCUCUUAUUGGAGACAAUAUUCCUUUAGGGACAUAAAGAUUCCCUUUUAAGUCUUUAAACGAGUACUCAAAUGUGGUGGUGGGAGUCCCUAAAUAUAGACUCCCAUUGGAGAUCCUCUAAGAUAGGUGCUACUCAUGCUUAACUUCAUCUCCCCCCCCCCUAAUUUUCUAGUUUAGUUUUUUUUGGAAUUUUCAAAAUUUAAGAUUCAUAAUGCUAAUUUAAAUUCAGCAUAAUAAUCUUCAUUUUGUUGGUUGAAUGUCUUACAAAAAUGCACCGAUGUGUUUUUUGGGUUGUUUGGAAGUGCUUUUAAUAGAAACAAUGACACACCCAACCUCGAUAUCCUCCAAACACCAUGGUAGGCAUGUGAUGGCCAACACACGAAGGCGAUGAAGCCAUAUUAACAUGCAUGUAGGUUAUGAAGAAAUAACAAAUGUAAAUAAAACAAGUAAAUUUCACUAAUAAAGAAUAUGCAUAUGUGGGAACAUGUUCAGAGCAUACAACUAAUUAAGAAUACUGUUGAAGAAAUACUAUAAGGUACGAACAAAGGAAUGAGUCAUACACCGAGAGGACUCGAAGAUACUGAUGUUGGAGUGCCUUGACGCCAGGAUAGUACGCCUUGAUUCUAAGUCCUGAAGGGGGCGCAAAACAAAGCAUGAGUGGACCAAGUUUACAUACUAACCCCCAGUUUUAGAAAACUCAUAUAGCUAAUAAGUAAUAGGUUUUCCGAAAACCUUAGCAUGCCAUAAAACUUUCAUAAAACAUAUAUCGUAUAUAGUGUGCUUAGUAGUGGUGUCACAAUCGCCCGAAGGCCCUACACCGUCCGCCCGAAGGCAUAUAUAAAUAUUCCGCCUAAAGGCCCUACAUUGCACGCCCGAAGGCAUAUAUAAAUCUUCCAGCCGAAGGCACUACAUCGCCCGCCCGAAGGCAUAUACAAAUCAUUCGCUCGCAGGCACUACACCGCCCGCCUGAAGGCACAUAUAUCAUUUGUCCGAAGGCAUAUAUAAAUCAUUCGUCCGUAGACACAACAUCGAAAGAAAACCCUAAUUUUCGAUUUUUGCUAUCUCUUUCGGUGUUUGAAAUUUUGCAGACAUGGGACUCCUACGACGACCAUUCGUUGUGAAGGUUUCAUAUCCUGGUCCUGACUUUGCUGCUGGUUAUGAUGGUGUGUUGAUUUAUUUGUUUUAUAUUCUUUGGUUUCGUUUUUGGUGUUUUAUUUCUGUUGUUUAUGCAAAUAAUAUCCAUCUUCUGUUGUUUUAUGUAUCUUGUGGGAUUUUUAUUUUUGAUCCAACUGUUUUGCGCUGGAUUGGAUGGAGUUGUAUCUACUUAGUUUUUGUUUUGAACUUUCAAGCAUCAAAGUAAUCUGGCUGGGUGGGUGUUUGCAUUGUUUUUUUUUUUUUUUUCAGUUAAUUAUUUAGUUUUGCAAGUACCCUUGCAUGUGCCCUAGUUAGUAUUUCCUACCCCCGUAAAGUAGAUUUGGUCUCUCUAUCGCGCUCUCUCUCUAUAGUUCAUUCCUUACAGAUUUAUGUUCGAACUUUCAGUGCAUCAUCCAGAUUAUCACUCCAAAAGGCUUCUUUUUUCUUAUUUUUUGUCUUUUUCUCUUUUCUGAAGUUCCACACAGUUAUUUUGUAUCAUAUUAAUCCAAUGAUCAAGUUCAACUAUCUAUUUUCAUAUCCCCAUUUAUCAUAUAUUAUUUACAUACAAGUAAGAAAAAUUAGUGAUCAUAAGCAUAACUACACACUGGGCUAUUUUUAAGUGUGUUUCUUAUACAAGCAAUACUUAUUCUAGACUAAUCUAAACUACGGGAAAGAAAAUUCAAAAUUGAGUACAUAAAGAAAGCACAUAAACUCUAACUAAUAUGAUUGCGACUAGUGCCAUCGUUUGCUGCUAAGUUCAAGUGUUUUAACUAAUUAAGAGGUUCCUUUUCCCACUUCCUCUCCAUCUUGCAUUAAUUUUACAUGGUUUUUAAUGUGCAAAAGGUUCCUAAUUCUCAGCCAAGAACAACUAUUUGAAGCAAUACAGCUCUAAAAGCAGUAUUAAAUCAGCUUAGAACCAGGUUUUUCCCUAAAACCUAUUAAGAAAAUGGCCAGCCCACUAUUUCAAAGUUUUUGAGAUUAAACUUGCCACAAGCAUCUAUCAUCAAAUGGAAGAAUGCAGACUCAACUCCAUCACACCCAUGGACCACCUUUGUUUUCUCUCUCUACUCUCCCUCUCCUUCUAGAGAAUUAGCCAAAUUGCAAUUUGGCUCCACAUCACCAUUCCCUUUAACAAUUAAUAUCUUUGAGGUUUGACCAACUUAAUGGUCAAAUAAAAUACAUCUUUACUAAGCCUCUGUUGCCUUUGCACAUGGAUAGAAGCCACAAAACCCUCCAUAAAAAUUACAGUUAAGUCUUCUCUGUAAAGCAAUACCUAAAAAGGGUUCAAAACUUUUGCCUUUUGGAGUGAUAAUUUGUAAUGUUGUACAAUAUAUAGAUACAUAUAUUUUGAAUAACAUUUUAUUUUCCGAUUAAUUGAUGUUAUAUAUUGUCAAAUUAUGAAUAUGAAUUGUAAAUUUACUUAACUCGUGUCUAAAUAUUCUAAUAGGCGUAUGCAACUCUCGGUGAAAAAUGUUAGAGCGUGCAAACAGGCAUGGUUUUCACUGUUAAUUGCCCUCUCAUUAUAGACACUAUGAUUAACAAAAGAAAACAACAUUUGGAGAAGGAAAAAUAAGUAUACAUGUAGGUGGCAAGAAAAAGUAACGAGGUGAAUCCACGUUUAUAAAAGCUAUGCCAGUAUGCUACUAGCUACACAUGAUAACCUAUACCUGACUAUUGAGUCAUAAAUGAUAAACAUGUACGACCGAAUAUUCAAAUGUGAUUUCUUCAAAUAUAAAUUUUGAAGAGUAAUUUUACUUUAGUUUCAGUCUGCAAGACUUGAUCACUUAAAGAUAGAGUCACAUUAUUUUCAUUUUAAUGUCUUAUCUCUUCAUCUAUUUUUUAAUAAAUUUUUUAAUUACAACUAUGCCUAUUUGUAAAAUGACUAAUAAAGACCUUAAAAGAUAUAAUAAUAAUAAUAAUAGUAAGUUAUAUUUUUAUGCAGGUGUUUUUUAAUUUGUAUUAUGUUUGUAGAAAAAAGUAUGUGAUGUAAAACUUUUUUUCUUAAUAUGAAACAAUCAUUUUCUUAUGUUAGAUGAAGCAGAUGAAAUUAAUUCCAUCACGAUCAUGUCCUUAAUUAAUUUUAGUUUUAUAUAUUAUUUGUUUAUAUCCUUUUUUCUAAGAGACAAGUUUAUAAGUUAAGAUAUAUUAGAGGUUAUUUUAGAAAUAAUAGGCUAAGGAAAUAAUAUUUCAAUUGUUUGACUUUUUACAGCGGGUGAGAUUAUAAUGUGAAUGAAAAAAAUAAGACGCUUGUUUCGGUUGGUGAUUUAUAAUACUCUCAAAAGAUAAUUCUAAAAAUAUUUAAAAACUCGUUAAUCUAAAAAGGCAGAUUUGAAAGUUUCUGUCUUUGGAAACCAGUAUCAUACGAGCCUACCAUACACACUCUUAGGAAGUAAAGAAUUUCUAACAGGAUGCAUGCUUCCCCUCUCAUUUAUAUAUUUCUGCUUUUUUCUGUGGCGGUGGCAAGAUACACUUUAGAAAUGCCCUAAUUAGUCUAAUAUGAAGAAAGCACUCGGACUUGGUCUCUUAAGAGGAAUAUAACCUAUUAGUAACUUGAAAAUAGUCAGAAUGAUACAAUUGCCCAAACGGAAAUAAGCAGAGUUUGCAUCUUUUAUUAUAGACACCAUGAUUAACAAAAGAAAACAACAUUGAGAGAAGGAAAAAUAAGUACUUCCCAACUUCGAGGUGUGACAACUGAAAGUGCCAAGACAAGUUUCUCCGAAAACGGCUAUAGUGAUACCUUAAAGGCAUAACAUGUGAAGAUAGGUAGAUAGAAGCUAUCUUUAAAGGUAAACUAACUUCAUCUUCUUAUUUCUUAAACUACAUAUACUAUAUAGCAGCUCACAUCACUUGACUCAUGAAAAGUUCUUCUGUUCCUUCCUAAUCCACCAUCUUGCGCACGCAGUGGAGCCUAGUAACUGCCCUCAACCAUCCUCGUGUCUCGUCGUAAUCCACAAAUGCUUCCCUGGUAUACACGGUUAAGCCAUUGUUACUGGCAUGCAUCACAUAAUCCUCCUGGCCGAUGUGGCCGUCCUGAUUGUUUCCCGGCAACUCUAGAAUGCAAUUAUCCAGAUGUUCUAAGGACUCGAAUUUCCUCCUAGGAUAGUAGACAUAAUUAGCCCCAUCGAUCUCAAACCGUACAUUUCCAACUACAUUUUGCCCAUAACGUGCUUGUACACAUUGCAAACGGCCCCUCACUGCCAGCCACCCUUCUCUCAUUGCAUCCUCCACCCUCAUUGGAGUGUCUUGACGAUUUCGGCCUUGCCCUUGCCUCAUGACAAAAAAUACUUCAUGUAUUGGGCUGACUCCUUUAUUGUUGUCUACAUCUUCAACACUCAGAACGUGCUGCACAAACGACUCAACAGAGUCGUAAAUGUCCAAAUCGAACGUGUGGAUGUAUGAGAGCUCAUCCUGAUUAUAAAUUUCCUUCAUUAGAUCAACUUCUGGACUGCUUCUACCUCGCCUCUGGCCAUGUUGUCGACUCUGUCUACGUCUGCCCCGUGUAGGCCCUCCUCUGUCGCCUCCGUGGCCACCCCCUUGAGCCAAUUGAGCUGCUCCAGGGGCGGCAAUAGGGGCUCUUCCUCUCAUAGCUCUCUGGAACUGGCCUUGGCGUUGGCCUCCCUUGCUACUAGAAUGUCUCUUAAAAUUUUGGUUCUGCAUAAGCAAGUCCUGAGCAGGGUUACAAUCAUUGUAGUGGAUAAAUAUAUAAACAGUAUCAAGAACUGAGACAUAAAAUGAACACAAGAAAAGAUGAAAGAAAAUGCAGACAGCAUAAAACGGCCUUCUUCUAGUAUCAUUGCUGCAGAACUCGUUUAACCAAACCAAGCACUGCACUCUAUAUAAAGCUAGUUUUUUAUUUUUUAUUUUUUUUGAAACACACUAUAUAAAGCUAGUUUGAGGUAAAGUUAAGGACUUGAUUACACCUAGUGGCAAAACUUUUGUUUAUUUAGAUUAGGGAGUUGAGGAUUCUACUUUAAAACAAGAGAAAUUUAACGAAAAACGCAUGGUACUGUUCACUUUAACGAAAAAUCACAUUUUUACACUAAAAAGUCAAUCCUGGUACAAUUCACUUUACCCUUUAUUUUGUCCUUAUCGUUAAAACUCAAAGUUUUCAAACCAUUUUCAUUAGUUUUCCUUUUAAAACAAUAAAGAAGAAAGCCUACCAAAUUUAUCCCUCAUCGCUUCUAGUUGUGCGCGUUCAAUUUUACCUUUCCAAAAUUGUAAAGGACUAAACCGACAGUCUAAUCCAUUUGAAAUGAUGAUAGCUCAAAGCUACACAUACCACAUGCCUGACCAUUGUAACUAGUCAACAAAAUAUACCACUUACAGUUAAUGAGAUGAUGAGGAAUAUUCAGUAAUCUAGCUAGUAGUGCAAUUUUGUGAUCUUAGAAAUGAUGAUAUGUGAUAUAUGACUGCCACAUAUCAUGUAAUUUCUUGUUUCAAUUCGUUUGAGAAUGUCGAGAAUUAUGGUUUGGAUUAAUGUCGUUGGUAUAAGCACGUCCAAAAGUUAUAUAAAAAAUUCAACUUCCUUCCUCCUUGAAAGUAUUUUAUGAAAAAUAAACUAUGAUUUAUGUAUUUCUUUAUAAAACAUUAAAACACUAUUUCGGAAUAUAAAAAAAACUUUUGUAAUAUAAAUGUCAAAUAGUUAAAAUGAUUCACUUUUAAUAUUUGGUCAUUUUUGAUAUAACAUAUCAAUAACAUCAACGGCACAACUAUGAUAUAACAACGAAAUACUAAAAGUAAAUCAUUUUAACAACCGAAUGUCAAAAGUUGAUUAUUUCAGGAAAAAAAAACUCUAUAUAAAGCAAUUCGCACAUGGAAAAGUGACAUAUAAGAAAACCAUUUUUGUCUACCAUGACCAAAGGCCCCAAAUAGCCAUAUACGAGCAUUGUCUAAAAAUAAAGAUUUAGGGUAAUUAGCAAAAAACAGCUAUAAUUACUACUCACUCCCAAUCCGGCUUUUUUAAGGAUUAAAAAAAAUGAAAACUAAUGAAAAUAGCUUGAAAACUUUGAGUUUUAAUGAUAAGGACAAAAUAAAGGAUAAAGUAAAUAGUAUCAGGUUUGACUUUUUAGUGUAAAAAUGUGAUUUUUCGUUAAAGUGAACAGUACCGUGGGCUUUUCGUUAAAACUCCCUUAAAAAAAUUUAGAAGAAGGCAAGUGAUCAUUUACUACAGUGGUAGAAAGAUGUUGAGACCUUACAUAAUAGUGUGGGUUCAAAUCUCAUCGAUGAUUAAUUUAACAUCUAAUCUAACAAAAUCUAUCGUUUGACUAAAAAAAAUUCAGAAAAAGAAAAGUAUCUGUUGAAAUAAAAAAAUAGCACAAGCCAAGAAGGCAUCCAAAUCUGUUGCCCUCCUUGAUUGUUGGUUUGCUUUGCUAUUCUCUUCUUUCUUCCAACAGCAUCCGAUUUAAAAUUGCUCUUAUAUUUAUAGUACGUGUUUUUGAUUCGUCAAGCGCCGUAAUAUAUAUAUAUAUAUAUAUAUAUAUAUAUAUAUAUAUAUAUAUUGAAAAUCUUUGACACACAAUGCCACCUGACACACUCUUAGAAAGGAAACAAUUUAUAUUCAACAACCAUCGAUAUUACUUAUUUUACGUUGAUCUGUCUGAGUAUAUUCAGAUUGGAGGUUUUGGGGUACAGUCAUUAAGGAGAACUUCAUGUUGGGGCGACGGCUGGGAAGGUAGAUCUGCCUAAUGACGGAGGAGAAAGGUUCCUAGUUGAGAACAAUUGUUAGAAAGACGAAGACUAAGAGCACCAGUUUAUCUAGGGAUGAGAAAUGAACGAAAAAUAAAGGGAAUAACUUUUGGGUAUUCAUGAUGAGUUAGUUCCAAAUCCAGAAGAAGAAGACAGGGUGAGGAAGAGGGGGAAAAUAUUGUUAAAUUGUAAAUUUAUACAACAUGUGAAACCCGUACCUCGAAGAACUGGAAUACACCUGAAGAGAGCUGGAAACCAAUCCACCAGAAUGAACAAAUGCCAGAGCUAUUAAGGUUUUUAUUUGCAAACUGUGAGAGUGCUAGAGAGAAGCAGAAUGCAGAAAGGGGAGAGCUCAAGGGGUUUUAUACGCAAAGUGAAUGGAGAGGUAGUUCCUGCUAUAUUUUCAAGGAACAGGAGUGUUGUUAAUGAACAGUGUCGAUCAUGAACAGUGUCUGGGAUGAGACGGUUGGGAUGGUAGAUCUGCCUAAUGACGGAGGAGAAUGGAGGAGAAAGGUUCCUAGUUGAGAACAAUUGUUAGAAAGACGAAGACUAGGAGCACCAGUUUAUCUGGGAUGAGAAAUGAAGGAAAAAUAAAGGGAUUAACUUUUGGGUAUUCAUGGUGAGUUAGUUCCAAAUCCAGAAGAAGAAGAAGAAGACAGGGUGAGGAAGAGAGGGAAAAUAUUGUUAAAUUGUAAAUGCAUACAACAUGUUAAAUCCAUACCUCGAAGAACUGGAAUGCACCUGGAGAGAGCUGGAAACCAAUCCACCAGAAUGAACAAAUGCCAGAGCUAUUAGGGUUUGCAACAGUAAGAGAGCUAGAAAAGCAGAAUGCAGAAAGAGGAGAGCUCAAGGAGUUUUAAAAGCAAACUGAGUGGAGCCGGUAGGUCCUACUAUAUUUUCCUACUAUAUUUUCCUACUAUAUUUUCUAGGAGCAUGUGCAAGAGAAAUUUUAAAUUGUGAAAAAUCUCUCCAGGGGCAAGGGUUGCUUGAACGUCUAGUUGACCUUAUUUGUGAAAAUCAAUUGUGUUUUUUAUGGAUAUUUUUUAAGGAAAAAUCUUCUUGUAUUAUUCAUUUUAAAGAAAAAUCGUAUUUUUAUAUUAAAAAUUCAAUUAUGAUACUAUUCAUUUUACUCUUUAUUUUGUCCUUAUAGUUAAAACUCAAAGUUUUUAAACAUUUUUCAUUAGUUUUAUUUUUAUUUUUUAAGAUUUACUUAAUUUGAUUUCACCUUACACUAUUAUUACCAUUACCAUGUUUACCUCUAUAUUAACAUGAAACAAGCACCCUAUAAUAGCCUUAUGAAUACAAUUAAAGUUACGUGGUGAAUGGAUGUAUGAGGUGUUAAUUCACUUGUUUGUUUUAACCUAUUCACCGUGAACUUGUGCCUACAUGAAUGACGGUACAAGUACAACCUCAAAAAGAGCUACACCCUUUUAUUUGUGGAGUAGGAUUCUCUACCUUCAUAUCAUAUUCUCAUCUCCUUCCAUCCCCUCCUCUUACUCAUUGUAUUUUGUUUUAUUAUUUCUAUAAAAAAAUUAAUAUAAAAUGUUAACGUGGUUUAACCGUGACCGUUCAAAUAGAAUGAGAUGUAAGAAUAGAGAGAUUAUGAGGGUAGAGAAUCCUACUAUUUUAUUUGUUACAAUGUCUUUAUAAUUUAAUGCAACUUGCUUGGGCAACAUCCUUUAAAAAUAAUCAAUAAAGUGCCAAAUUUCGUCCGAGUCAGAUGCUUGGACGUAUCUAGAAGAGGGAUAACAAUCAAUUCCGGGAGACCCCAACGACUCGCUUAGGCAACAUCCUUAAUAAUAUCUUGACUUUUUUAUUUGUUAGUUAGGAAUGUUGAUUGAUUGAAGGAUUAAUUUAUCUGGGCGUGUGAGGGGAGGAUUUGGAUUCUCUUGGACUUUAGCACUUUCCGUUUUUUCCUUGUUUUUCUAAUCAUUUCAUCAUUUUCUUUCUUUUCCAGUUUUUUCUUAUCUAUCAAUCUUUUCCUGAUUUGUACAAAACUACAUUUGGAGAUGAUGAAUCAAUUUUUCACAUUAGUCUUGAAUUUUUUUGAGGAUUUUUCACAUAAGAAACAAGAAACUAAAAAGCCGAUUCGAGGUCUCAUUUUCCUUGUAGUAACUAAUUUGCCAUCUUCUUAGUCUUGCUAAUAUAGUGUUAAUUUCGUGAGCAUGCAUGAUCACUAGCUUGUUUGUUUGCAAACAAAUAAUUGAUUUGAUUGCUCUUGGAUUCUUUUGUCGAGUCUUGUGAACUUCCUUAUUCGUGAGCACGUGUCUUCCUGAUCAUGUCUACAGCCCAUGUUCCAAAUCCCACAGUCCUAAUUUCGUGAGCACGUGUCUUCCUAACCAUGUAUACAGCCUACAAAACAUUAAUUCAUCCAAAAAUAAAAAGACAUAUAUAAACGUCAAAAUUAUUAAGUGUCACGAAAAAUAAAUCCCAAAUUUUGUUAUAGAUUCGUAUUAAUUAGCUUGAUUGCAAAAGCCUCAUAUGUACCAAGUUUCGUUGCACUAAUAUGGAGAAUCACUUGGAGAUGUAACGGCAGCCCAAUUGCUUGGACAAUUCAGGUCCACCAACUGCCACUUGGGGCCCUCUGAAGUCGGUAACACUCCCUUCUGUAAUAAAUAAUGUGACUUUUUUGUGGCAUGAUCAUUGUCCUACCGAGCAUGUACGGACGGAGGGAGGUAAGGCACAGUGGUGGCGCAUGCCCCCUCUCUUUUAAAAAAAAAAUAAAUAAAUUACAAAUUACAAAUUAUUCAAUUAAUCAUUCUCAUUUUUUUUGCUUUGCAAAUUAUUCAAUUAAUUAUAUUAAAAUAGUGAAAAUCAUCUUUUAGUUUUUAAAUGUCCCUCCAUCUUGGAUAUUUUUCUCACGCACUAAUGUCUAAACCUUGUUGAGUUGCAUGUAUUUGGUUAAUUAGUACAAAUGAGCAUUAUAUUGUCAACAAUUAAAGACAAAAUUAGACAAUAGAGUAAUAAAAUUAGGCAUUUUGUAAUUAAUUUUUUCAACAUUUGUAAAAGAACUAGCUUUAUUUGUCCAAAAAAGGAGCUCAAAAUUUUUAAAGUGCCCCCUCUUAGUUAAAUUUCUGGCUUCAUCCCUGCUACCAAGUACUAUUGAAUUUUUCCAUAAAGUAAUGAUGAAGUAUUUGUUAGUUAGGAUUAAUUUAUGGGAGUUUUAACGAAAAGUCCGCAAUACUGUUCACUUUAACGAAAAACCACAUUUUUACUCUAAAAAGUCAAACCUGAUACUAUUCACUUUACCCUUUAUUUUGUCCUUAUUGUUAAAACUCAAAGUUUUCAAGUUUUUUUCAUUAAUUUUCCUUUAAUUUAUCUGGCGGUGUGAGUAGAGGAUUUGGAUUCUCUUGGUCUUGGCACGUUCAGUUUUUUCCUUGUUUUUCAAAUCAUUUCUUCAUUUUUUUUUUCUUUUCCAGUUUUUUCUUAUUUAUCUAUCUUUUCCCGAUCUGUUUAAUGUUAUUUUACAAAACUACAUUUGGAGAUGAUGAAUCAAUUUUUCACAUUAGUUUUGAAAUUUUUUUAAGGACUUUUAUGUCUUAUUAUCCUCUAGCUCUCUAGCUCUCUAGCUCUCCUACAGCGAAAGAAUUCAACACAAACAUCGAGUACAAAAUUUUAUAUUUUAAAAUACCCAAUCAAUAUUCCUAUACGUAUUCCAAUGAGGGCCCACGAACCUGGUGGCUUGACAGGGAUCUGGAUUGUCUGUCCUCCCCAUCCAUCAUUUUUCCAUGCAUUCCUAUUUGAACGAUCACGUUAAAUCAUUUUAAUAUUUUAUAUUGAUUUUUUUUAUAGAGAUAAUAAGACAAAAAGCAAUGGGAAUAUAAAAUGUUGAUGUUGCUUAACCGUGACCAGUUCAAAUAGGAGGGCAUGAGAAUGGAAUGGGAUGGAGGAGGGCAGACAAUCCAGAUCCGCUUGAGAGGAAUACAACAUUAGUUACUUGAAAAUAGUGAGAUUGAUACAACUAAUAUAUAGUAACGGAGAGCUUUAAUGAAAAUAAUUUAAGCUAAGUUUAUUUUAAUAAAAAUUAUCCUAUGAUUUUAUUUAAUGCAAACGGCUUGAGAUUUAAUAAAAAUGACAUAAUACAAUAUGAUAAAGAAAAAAAUUUAAAUCUGCAUAACUAGAAUACAGGCUCCAUCCCAUCAAUUAACCCACUAUAUUAUUAAGGGUUGGUUUGGUAUUGUUGUGCUUUGAAAAAAAAACUGUUUUUGCUAUGCUGUGAGAAUAAACAGUUGUGAAAUAAAACAGCAGAUUGUUUGGUAAACUUUUUUGUAAAAGUGCUUUUGAAUAAUAAAAAAAAAAAGCAGUAUUAGCCUUUGUUUGGUACUGAGGUGAUUUUGAAAAAAAAUGGCUAUCAAAAAAAGCUUGAAGCUUUUUUAUGUUUGGUAAACAUUCAACUUUAGCUUUUUUUCACCGUUUUUGGUAAAAAGGCCAAAAACACAAAGCUGCAAAACCCAACUUUGAAAAAUCAGUUUUUUUUCACAUCUGUUUUACAUAAAAGUUUAUCAAACACUAUAAUACUGUUUUUUUUUUUCAAAAGCACUUUUACAAAAAAGUUUACCAAACAUUCAGCUGCUUUAUUUCACAUCUACUUAUUCUCACAGCACAGCAGAAUCAGUUUUUUUCAAAGCACAACAAUACCAAACCAGCCCUUAUAGUGUUUGAUAAACUUUUAUGUAAAACAAAUGUGAAAAAAAGCUGGUUUUUGAAAAGGUGGGUUUUGCAGCCUUUAUGUUUUUUGGCUUUUUUUCCACCAAAAACUGUGAAACAAAACUGAAGCUGAAUGUUUACCAAACAUAAAAAAGCUCCAAGCUUUUUUUGAUAGCCAUUUUUUUUCAAAAUCACCUCAAUACCAAACCAGGAUUCAACAUGAAUGUGAUGAAGCUUCCAAUGCUCCACCAUCCUUAGCCACUCUUUUCUUUGCAUGGGUCCUAACCAAGGUUAUGACAAAAAACAUAUAUAAUAUUUAUUUAAGAACUUUAACGAAAAAUUUUCGGUACUGUUCAUUUUAACGAAAAAUCAUAUUUUUACACUAAAAAGUCAAUCUUGGUACUAUUCACUUUACCUUUUAUUUUGUCUUUAUCGUUAAAACUCAAAAUUUUCAAGUUUUAUUUAUUUAUUUAUGUAUUUUAUAUUAAUAUAUGGGGAUUCCAUAUUUAAUUUAUUAUGUAUACUUGUGAACAUGAAUGUCAACAUGUAUAUACACUGUCUAUUUCCUUUCAUUGCAGAUGCAAGUUUGUGCAGAAUCGCAGUAUUUAUCAAAAUAUUCUAUGUUUUCUGAAACAAAAAUACAAACCAUAAUUUUGCAUGAGAGAGAGGAGAGAUAAGAGAGGACUGAAAACUUCAUGUAAUUCUCCCUGAUAUUAUUCAUGAAGUUGAAUUUCAUGUUGUUAUAUAUGCCAAAUCGAAAGUAUCCAUCUAUAGAUUCUACUAUUAAAUAGCAACAUAUAAGAUUACCAUUUUGUAGAAAAAGACGGACGAACGAUAUUCAAGAAUCAAGAUUGGGUUAUUUUGUCAAAACUCUCUUUAUUUUGUUCAUUUUCAGAAAUAGUGUGGGUUAUUUUGGUUCAAUUUCAUAAAUAGUGCUGGUUAGUUUGUUGUAGUUUCAAAAAUAGUGUGAGUUAUUUUGGUUCUGUUUCAGAAAUAGUGUGUGUUAUUUUGUUGUUGUUUCAUAAAUAAUGUUUAUUUUUUCCUACCAAAAAUAAUGUGUGUUAUUUUGAUUCAGUUUCAAAAAUGGUGUAGGCUAUUUUGUUGUAAUUCCAAAAAUAGUGUGGAUUAUUUUCGUUCAGUUUCAGAAAUAGUGUGAGUUAUUUUGCUGUACUUUUAGAAAUUGUGUGGAUUAUUUUGGUUCAAUUUCUGAAAUAGCUAGGUUAUUUUGUUGUAUUUCUAGAAAUAGUUUUGAUUAUUUUGGUUCUAUUUCAUAAAUAGUGUAAAUUAUUUUACUGUAGUUUCAGAAACAGUGUUUAUUUAGUGCCGUUUCAGAAAUAAUGUGGAUUAUUUUGGUUAUAUUUCAGAAAUAGUGUGGGUUAUUUUGGUUCUAUUCCAAAAAUAGUGUGGGUUAUUUUGUUGUUGUUCCAAAACUAGUGUGUAUUUUGUUCCCUUCCAAAAAUAGUGCGAGUUAUUUUAGUUCAGUUUCAAAAAUAGUGUUUAUUAUUUUGUUGUAGUUCCAAGAAUAGUGUGGAUUAUAAAGUCCUUAGAUUCCUGCAAAUUGCAAUAUCCACCGUCAUGUGCAACUCUUUUUUUUUUCUUUACAACUUAUGAAAUUUAUGCAUCUAAUACUAAUAAUAAUAAGCUAUACAACUUAUCUUCCCCAAUUAUAUCCAACUAUAUGCUUUGCCAUUUUUUAUUGAUUUGAAAACAAUUUAAUAUUUUUUGUGGAUUUUCAAUGGCAUUUUUGUUAAUGGAUUUGUGCUAAAACAUUAAUUCAUCCAAAAACAAAUAGACAUGUAUAAACGUCAAAAAUAUUAAUUGCCACGAAAAAUAAAUCCCAAAUUCGUUAUAGAUUCCUAUUAAUUAGCUUGAUUGCAAAAGACUCAUAUGUAAGUUUCGUUGCACUAAUAUUAGAUCGCAUUCCAAGAAGCAAUUCAAGAUCGAAGUUGACGAUGAGGAGGUGCAUAAUCUCAUUUUAUUUUUAUGGAUGAGUUACUUUGCUAGCUAGCUUUUCAGUACUCUUGCAUGCUAUUAAAGUUGUUUCAUAUUUAUCGAAUAUGAUAUGGAGCAUCACCUGGAGAUGUAACGGUAGCGCAAACAACAAAGUUUAUUUAUUUAAUUUUUUUUUAACAAGUGAUAUUAUCUACAUUAAGGGUGAGGGGAUGGGCUUAACCUCACACUAGGCUAACAGCAAUAUGGUUCAAAUUCGUCUUUGGCGAGAAUCGAACAUGAGACCUCUCACUUACAAGUGAAGAGAAAUACUACUAGACCGUAGUACUAAGUAGCAACAACAAAGUUUAUUUGCCUGCGAUGUUUACCUUGUCAUGUUACUUUUUGCUUCAAUUCGUCUGAGAAUGUGAAGAAUUUUGGUUUGGAUGUUAAUGUCCUUGGUACAAGCACGUCCAAGAUUUUAUAAAAAAUUCAAGUUCCUUCUUGAAAGUAUUUUAUGAAAAAGAACCUACAAUUGGUGUAUUUUUUUACAACUAUAAUGUAACAAUGAAAUGCUAAAAGUAAAAUCAUUUUAGCAACCGAAUGUCAUAUAUAAGUAUGAUUUCAACCAAAAACUCUAUAUAAAACAACCCACACAUCGAAAAGUGACAUACAAGACAACCAUUGUUGCCUACCAUGGCCAAAGGCCCCAAAUAGCCAUAUACGAGCAUUGUCUAAAAAUAAAGAUUUAGGUUAAAGAAAAAAGCAGUUAUAUUUACUUUUUUUUUUUUGUCAAACGAAGCAGCUAUAAUUACUACUCACUGGUUACAAUUUUACAUUCACAUCCUGUUAUGCCAUAUAAAAGAAGGAAAUUUUAACAAAAAACUUCUGAUACUGUUCACUUUAACGAAAAAUCAUAUUUUUACACUAAAAAAUCAAUCCUGGUACUAUUCACUUUACCUUUUAGAGCAAGUCCACCGGAGUGGACUUUGCCCAGCACUCAGUCCAAAUAGCAGUCCAUGUCCAUGUCCAUGAUGAGUAUGUAAUUUUAUUUUGGUGUGCAUUUUUUUUUUAAGUUUAUUUGAAAUUUUAUCCAAAAUUUGUUAAAAAUCUUAUCCGAAAUAAACUUAAAAAAAAAAACACACACCAAAUAAAUGCGCUGGGUGCCAGUGCAUUUUUUUAGGGGUGAAAAUGCCUUGGCCUAUUACUGUUCACUUGAGUGGAUAAAUGCGCUGAAUGCUGGCGCAAAGUCCUUAGGGGUGAACUUCUCUUAUUUUAUCCUUAUAAUUAAAACUUAAAGUUUUCAAACAUUUUCAUUAGUUUCCUUUAAAAUAAUGAAUGUAGAGCGGGGUGCCGAGUGGGAUCAUAUAUGAUUAUUUUAUUAAGGAGAAUGGCAUCUUGUGUUUGCGUGUAUUUUUAUGUGUCGGUUGAAGUUUAUAUGCAAUCUGUAUGCCAUCCCAACAUAUAUAGGAUAUGGUCAUGCGUUUUAUUUUACAGUCAACAUUUUACCAAAAUGAAAAUUUUGCGGGAGAAGAAGAGAGGAGCUAGUAAUGUAUUGUACGAUUGGUCGCCUUUGUUGAGAAGCCUACGUUCCAAAUAAUUUUCACACUCCGUAUCUAUAUUUUAGAUUUGCAUACAGAAAGGAGAGGAGAACACACCUUUUACUGCAAAGUGAAACUCCUUUUGUUCAUCGCUUGUCUUAUAUGAGGGGGUUCUCUCAUGGUUGUAUCACCUAUCCUGUGCUUCUGACUACAGAUUUCUUCGUGUGCUUCUGACUGCAGAUUUCUUGUUCGUGAUGACAUGCCUCUUGGAGCUUUUGCCAAGUUUAUAGGGCGUCAACUCGAUAAAGUUCAUGUUCAACUGUAUUUCAAGAACAUUGUUGUUGUUGAUAAUUGCAAGUGUAUAAUAUCGUCUAAGUAAUAUAGUGAUAAGUAGAGUGUCGUUCAAACAAAGAUCGGAUUAACUUAUAUUUACUAUUGAGAUUGACUUCAAACUAAACUUAAAUAAAAGAGGGAUUAUGUUGACAAAUUCUAAGAUGCAAAGAAACCAAAUGAAAGUAAAAAUAACGACUGAUCGAGCACUAAAUAAAAAUGAAUGAAUUAUAAAAGAUUAAAAUAUGGAAGCACUAGGACAUCAGGUUCCUUAUUCUCAAUCCCAUCUAAUCCCGUUAUUCAUAUUAACAUCAAAUUAUUCCCAUGUUGCUAGCAAUUAUCCCUUGAUUCGUCAAUAUUUUCUGUCAGAAUAUACUAAUCGUGUUUCGAACUAUCUACCCAUGCUAUGUCUAGCCACAUAUAUAGAUAAUCAAAACCCUUUACGCUAAAUGGAUAAUUACAUGAUACUACACAAAUCAUAACCAAUAUAUCUAUUCAAUUAUGUAAUUUAUGGUAAUUGUUAUGAGAAGCAACCUACAAAACUCUACCUGUCAGUCACAAUUUAGUUAUUCACACAAAUAAUGGCCAGUUAUUUGAUAACAACGAAGCACAAUAACAAUUACUCAACAUGGAAAAUAACUGAGAUUAAUAUAAAAUAAUGAGAAUUAUAUGUUCAUGAUAAGAGUACACCCUAAUCCUAGCAAAAAGACUUAAUUCAUGAUUGAACUUAUGCCAAACAUGGAUGAAUUCAAUGACAUGCAAUAAAUCUUGAACUCCAACAUUGUUUUUGAAUGUGUGUAUGCGCUGUGGUGGUUUGAUCCUCCCCCAAAAAUCCUUGCGCCGCUGGGUUCUCCACCUUCCUUGCGGCACACCCUUAGGCUCUCCAAAAAAAACCUGAUUUUAUUCUCCCCCCUUCUGCCUCUCAAUAAGGGGAUUAAAAACCUUCUCAUUCUUGGAAAAGUCCAACGCCACUUUUUAUGAAGCCCAAAUUGGAUUUAAUUUGAUAAAGCCCAAAUUCCAGCACAAUUCUCACAAAGCAGCAGUCCACUUCGUUAUUCCAUGAUACUUUCUUUAUAAUUCUUCUUACAAAUCCACAUUUAUCUCCGACUAUUAUUUGUACAAAACUUACACAAAACACAUCAAACUCACCAAUUUAAUAUAAAAUCAUGACCAAAUAAUAAGUAAAAAAGGUAUAAAACAUGCAUAUAAUAUCACCCUAACAACUGUACCUCCUAAUGGUGAGCAGAGCUGCAUUUUUUUUCUUUUGUUUCCCAAAUUAUUUGUCAACCUUGUGACGUAGUAAUCUAAUUCUUGCACUGUUGCAGAGGCCUUGAUGUCUGAAUUUGAUGCGGAGAACAAGGGUAAAGAUGGAUUUCUUCACAUAACCUACACUGGCAAUGAGAAAGGAGACAGACUCUGAAUUCACUGAUGUGUUACCACCAGUAAGAGUUCCACUGAAUUAGAUACUUUUACUUCCUAGUCAGUAGGUGGACAUACCUCUGUUUUAAUUUGCGCCUCUAUGCAGAGGACUAAGAGUAGAGCUGCUGCAAAGAUUGACAUAAUUCCUGGCAGGAUCAAGAGGAGGAAGUUAGUUGUCGAUCCCUUGUGCUUUAUUUGUCUUAAAUUUGUUUGCUGCAAUGGAAAAAAGAUUGUUUCCUUUCCUUUUCCUUUAUGCUUGUAGGAAAAUCGGAAUAAUUUAGCUUUCAAAUUCAAUUGGUCAGGACUUGGAUCUAACGGAAAACGUGACACAGAACAGAGCGCAAUAGCGUUCUAGGAUGCUUUAAUCUACGCUUUUGAUAUUGUGUUCAGGAGUUUACCGGAGAUGUACACGGCACAUGAUGCAGAUGCUUGUAAAUUGUAGGUGGGGGAAACAGAUUAUUUACCUGUAAGGAUUUCACUUGGUCGAAUACGUCUGUUUCCUUCUACUGAUUCAUUGGAGGUAAUGCCAUGCUCUAAUUUGAGCCUCCUUGCAGGGGAGAAAGAGGAUGGAUGGAAGGUGUGGCAUUUGUGUGAUGAAGUUAGCAUCCACUUCCUUUUUGCUUCGAUUAUCUUGAUUUGCAUUGCAAUAAUAGAACGGGAGAUUUUAUCCCCUUUCUGUUAGGUAUUUCCAGAAUGAGAAUAGAACAGAUUGCUGUUUUUUUUAAUAUUUGUUUUCGAAAUAUUCUCAGGCCUUUUAUGGAGAAGCUCAAACCACUUGACGUAGAUGCUUGGAAAGUGAGGGAGAGGGGACCAGAUCAUAUACCGGUUAGAAUUCCGAUGCAUCGAAUAUGUUUAUUUCCUUCUAUGCAUUUCAUAUGAGAUAAAACAUGCUGUAAUUUAAGCCUCGAUGCAGGUGUGGGUGGAGAAGGAUGCAAGCAGUGACAUUCCUGACAUUGACAUGAAGAAGUUUGUUUCCGAUUCUUUUUUUCUUUGAUUAUCAUGAAUUGUAUUGCAAUAAUGGAAUAUGAUUUGACCUCCUCCGUCAUAGACACUAACAUAUACUUAUAUAUAUAGACACAUAUGCUUUUGGUAUAUCAUAUGUUACGUAAGCGAUCAGAAACAAAUAGUAUAAGCUUGUCUUGGAUGAAGGGGUUCACAUCUCACAUGUUGCAUGUCCUUUGUUUUUUCUUUUACUGCAGAUACAACGUCCAUCGCGAUAUGCCUCUCAGAGAAUUUGUUGAUUUUAUUCGGUUAAGGAUUCAGCAUGAAUCUCCAUGGAAGAAGUCUUUGUUUGUCUACCUCAUGAACACCGAGCUUCCCAUUGGUGAGUAACACAUUUUUGUUUUUAUGCCGGCAGUAAUGAUAUCCGUGUUUGUCCCGAGUUUGGUGCAGAGGUAGUGACUCUAAUUGUUCCAUUGCUGUUGCACAGGUACCACCUUGAUGUCCGAAGUUGAUGAGAAAAAAAAGGACGAAUACGGGUUUGUUCGCAUCACCUACAGUGGAGAAGAGAGAGGAGGCUGGAACCAUUGAAGAGCUCUGAGACAGUCGCUAUUCGGCCUCGUAGCUAUUAACUUCGGCCAUCGCAAUACAAAUCCUAAAUUGUUUUCUCAGUACAAGUAAUAUUCUACGAAACAUUUACAUUUUUCUUUGCUGGAAAACUCUUCAACCGCAGAAUGUUAAUUAUUCAUCUUCAACAAAAGAUAUAAAAAUAAUGUAUAUUUGUCUUUUGAUUUUACAUUUUUAGAUGGUCGGUUACACUAGUCAAAUGGAGAAAAUUAAUGUAAUCCUAAAUUUCUCUUUUACUUGAGUGGAACUUGUAUUUACAUUCCCUGAUAAGUAAAAAAAAAUGUAAAUAUAGUUUUUGCAUCUCAAAUUUGAUCUCACCAUUGGAUACCCUAAAGUCAAGUCAAGUGUGAGAGGGCACUCGAACUUGGUUGUGUAAGAGGAAUACAACAUUAGUACCUACCAUCGACAUAUAGUAACAUCUUACAUAUGUAUAUUGAUGAUAAAUUGUAGUAUGUAAAUCCGUAUACUACAUUCGCAUUUUAAGAAACACUUAAGUUUAAUGUACACAUAUCAAUAUUAUUUAUUUUUAAAACAUCAGCCUACUAUACAUAAGCAUAGCAUACACACGUAUUUACAUUUCAAAUCUUUUCAAAUUUCACAUUUUUCAAUAAUACGAAUAAAACUCACAUAGUAUGCAUAGAUUGCAUUUGGAGAGAGAGAAGGGGAAGAGUUUUGCAUUUAAUUCAUCGUAAGACCAACUCCAAGGACAAAACUCAAACUCAGAUAUUUGGGUUUAAACCCAAGAAAUGCAAUUCAAUGGAGUGACUUAAAUCCAAAAACAUUAAAUUUGGACCCAAACUAAAACCCAAAUUUGGCUGAACUAAAAAUUUUUUAGGCCACGCAUUUUAUCAAAAAGCAAUGGGUGGGGGAUGUGAUUAAGUGCCCAACAACUGGGCGCUAGCUGCAAAACAAUAAUAUUUUAAGGGAUUACGAGCCGUUUGAUUACUGGGCCGUUGGUGAUCAAUGGUCCAGAUUAAAAUCUUAUUUUUCUAGCAAUCUCUAGAUUUUGACCUAACGGUAUAUUUGUUUUUUCUUUUUUUCAAAUCUAACAGUAAAAAUAAUCUCACGAUCGAAAUUUAAAUCCAAUAGAAAGAAUUUAUUGUUGUUUGGUGAUUGCUUAGGUAGUUUUGACGGUAGAUAUUGAAGUUUGGUUAAUGUGUGUAUUGAAGUUUGGUUGGUGUGUGUAUUGAAGUUUAAUUGGUUGUUUAGGUAAUUUUGUCUGGUGGAUAUUGAAGUUUGGUUGGUUGAUUUGUAUAUUGAAAUUUGAUUGGUGUGUGUAUUGAAGUUUUGUUUGUGUGCGUCUAUUAAAGUUUGGUUGGUUAUUUAGAUCGUUUUGACUGAUGGAUAUUGAAGUUUGGUUGGUGUGUUGAUGGAAGUUUAAUUGGCUAGUUUAUAUAUUGAAGUUUCGUUGGUGUGUGUAUUGAAUCUUGGUUGAUUGUUUGUAUUUUGAAGUUUUAAUUAGCAAAUUUUGUUUGCGUUGCCGUUACAUCUCCGGGUUAAAAACAACUAGAACACGUACGAUAAAUAUGAAACAACAUUAAUGGCAUCCAAGAGUACUAAAAAACUAGCUAGCAAAUUAACUUAUACCUCCUCAUCGUCAACUUCGAUUUUGAAUUGCUUCUUGGAACUUCUUAUGCGACCAAAUGCGGGUGCAACGAAACUUAGUAAGAGUUUGGUACUUUUUUUUUUUUUUCUGUCAAGAAGUUAAAUAGUAUAUGAGUUGUUUUGUUUUGUUGUGACGAACUUAUUACUAGGAGUUAUCAGUUUGGGACUAAAUAUUUUGUCUGCGUUAACUUCUUUUUAACAUUACAACAACAACAAAGCCUUUUCCCACUAAGUGGGGUCGGCUAUAUGAAUCCUAGAACGCCAUUGCGCUCGGUUUUGUGUCAUGUCCUCCGUUAGAUCCAAGUACUCUAAGCCUUUUCUUAGAGUCUCUUCCAAAGUUUUCCUAGGUCUUCCUCUACCCUUUCGGCCCUGAACCUCUGUCCCGUAGUCACAUCUUCGAACCAGAGCGUCAGUCGGCCUUCUUUGCACAUGUCCAAAACACCGGAACCGAUUUUCUCUCAUCUUUCCUUCAAUUUCGGCUACUCCUACUUUACCUCGGAUAUCCUCAUUCUCAAUCUUAUCCUUUCUCGUGUGCCCACACAUCCCACGAAGCAUCCUCAUCUCCGCUACACCCAUUUUGUGUACGUGUUGAUGUUUCACCGCCCAACAUUCUGUGUCAUACAACAUCGCUGGCCUUAUUGCCGUCCUAUAAAAUUUUCCCUUGAGCUUCAGUGGCCUACGACGGUCACACAACACGCCGGAUGCAUUCUUACACUUCAUCCAUCCAGCUCGUAUUCUAUGGUUGAGAUCUCCAUCUAAUUCUCCGUUCUCUUGCAAGAUAGAUCCUAGGUAGCGAAAACGGUCGCUUUUUGUGAUAUUCGCUAGAUUGCUCCGGUCAUUAGUGUGGAUAAGUAUAUAAAUGGAUAGAGAUAGGAAAGCAAACACAAGAUGUACGUGGUUCACCCAGAUUGGCUACGUCCACGGAAUAGAAGAGUUCUCAUUAAUUGUGAAGGGUUUACACACAAGUACAUAGGUUCAAGCUCUCCUUUAGUGAGUACAAGUGAAUGAUUUAGUACAAAUGACAUUAGAGUACAAAUGACAUUAGGAAAUAUUGUGGGAGAAUGAUCUCGUAAUCACGAAACUUCUAAGUAUCGGAGUGUGGUAUCAUCUUGACUUGCCUUAUCUGUCUCAUAGGUAGAUGUGGCAGCUUCUCUGGAAGUACUCUUCCUCCAUCCAGGGGUGGUAUCUUUAACUGGUGGAGAUGCACAAGGUAAUGUAUCAAUUUCACUUGAAGCUUACUUGUAGUUUCAGGCUUGGUCAAGCGCGAUACAAACCAUGUAGUAGGAGUCCCCCAAGUCGCCGAGCUAGGGGAUCUGCUGAAAGAGGUGACAGACAAGGUAAGCAAUCAGAGCUCCGGCUGAUUGUUCACCUUAUCCCCAUCUUGCAGCAGCAUGAAGGAUAAAGAGAAGAAAAAUGAGAAGAGAUGAUAUGGGAUACUUUUGCUUUUGAAGAAGUAACUUUCCACAGGCUUAUUCUUGAACUGAGCUGGAGGGUUUUCUGGUUUCCUCCAGAGUAUAAGGCCGACUGAAGAAUUUGAGGGUCAAAACAAGUCCAUCAAAUCUAGAGUACGUUCGACCCUGCUGAUAUGGGAUACUUUUGCUUUUGACAGAGUAAUGGAAGUAUCGGCACGUGUGCUGUUCCGCUUGUCUCUACAUGCUUCCUUGUAUCCUUCGCACUUGCCCUAUCUGUUCCUCAAGCAGAUGCGGUAUCUUCCCUGGAAACAUAAACUGUUGAAGAUGAGUACUCGAGAGCAAUGCCAGGUAAGUAAUCAGGUAAGGGGUUCCAGGCAGUCAGUUCCUGGCUGGGAGCUUGAUUUCAAGUGCUGACUGAUUGCUCUCUUUCUCCUUGUCUUGCAGGUAAAAACAAGGCCAAAGGAAAAGACAGGGAAAAAGCAUGAUAUGGGAUACUCUUGCUUUUAACCCUGAUGAUAUGAGAUAUUCUUGCUCUAGUAUAGCUUGUUUGCAGAGGUAUUAUCGGGGGGAAAGAAAGCUGAAUAUUUCGAAAGGCUUCGUUGGGAGUGCCCUCUCAGAUAUGAGGAAGGGUUGAGCAUUUUUGCAGGUCUGCCUGUCCGUUGGGGAUGGAGGUCGACAUAUAUAGGAGUCUCCCUAACAACAAGUAGUAAUGUUAUUCCUUUACCCUGCUUGGUCAUAGCACGGUAGUGGGAGCUGCCAGCUUCCCAUGUUUUAACUCUGUCAGAGCACUUUGAAAAAGUGGUAUGUGGUAUCUGGCUCUCGAGAUUCGGAAAACGAUGCUUCUUCGAUUUUUGAGAAAGCAAUCAUGCUGGGGGUCUGGCUCUCGAGAUUCGGGGAGCAGUGUCUUCGAUUUUUGAGAAAGUAAUCAUGUUGGGAGUCUGGCUCUCGAGAUUUGGAGGGCGGUGCCUCUUCGAUUUUGGAGUAAGCAAUCUUGUUGGGAGUAUUUUCUCGGAUGUGAGUAAAGGUUGGGCAUGUUUGCUAGUCUACCUUGCCACGAAGCACGGAGGUUGACACACAGGGACUUUCCAAUUAUCCAGCAGUGGUACUGUGCCUUUACCCUUGUGGGUAAUAAUAUGGUAGCUAGACCUUCAAAAUUUAUGUGUCUAAACUUUGUUAGUGCUGUUUCUUUGCUAUUCUUUUACCUUUCUUGGUCAGAGCGAUGUAGUGGGAGCUGCAAGCUUCACGUGCUCAACUUUGGCAGAGACUUUGGCAAAGUUAUCUGUGGUACCCAUGAGCUAUUGUUGCGUGUGGGAAGUGGGUGAUUGAACAGUAAGAUUCAUGUGCUUUCUACUUCACCAGAAGUCUUCGACAGAAUGCCCAUAAUUUCCGCAAAGCUGAGUGUGCGUGUGACAGGUGCUGACAAGGCUAGAAAAGUAGGUGCCUCUUCGAUUUCUGAGAUCGGCCCUCGUGGUCUCUGAGCAGCCCAGCUUUUGAGAAAGCGAGCGCCUCUUCGAUUGAUUCGGAGAACGAUGCCUCUUCGAUUUUUGAGAAAGCAAUCAUGCUGGGGGUCUGGCUCUCGAGAUUCGGGGAGCAGUGUCUCUUCGAUUUUUUUUAGAAAGUAAUCAUGUUGGGAGUCUGGCUCUCGAGAUUCGGAGGGCGGUGCCUCUUCGAUUUUGGAGCAAGCAAUCUUGUUGGGAGUGUUUUCUCGAAUGUGAGUAAAGGUUGGGCAUGUUUGCUAGUCUACCUUGCCACGAAGCACAGAGGUUGACACACAGGGACUUUCCAAUUAUCCAGCAAUGGUACUGUUCCUUUACCCUCUCUUCGAUUUUUGAGAAAGUAGUCAUGUUGGGAGUCUGGCUCUCGAGAUUCGGAGGACGGUGCCUCUUCGAUUUUGGAGCAAGCAAUCUUAUUGGAGUGUUUUCUCGAAUGUGAGUAAAGGUUGGGCAUGUUUGCUAGUCUACCUUGCCACGAGGCACAGGGGUUGACACACAGGGACUUUCCAAUUAUCCAGCAGUGGUACUGUUCCUUUACCCUUGUGGGUAAUAAUAUGGUAGCUAGACCUUCAAAAUUUAUGGGUCUAAACUUUGUCAGUGCUGUUUCUUUGCUAUUCUUUUACCCUUCUUGGUCAGAGCGAUGUAGUGGGAGCUGCAAGCUUCACGUGCUCAACUUUGGCAGAGAACUUUGGCAAAGUUAUCUGUGGUACCCAUGAGCUAUUGUUGCGUGUGGGAAGUGGGUGAUUGGACAGUAAGAUUCAUGUGUUUUCUACUUCCCCAGAAGUCUUCGACAGAAUACCCAUAAUUUCCGCAAAGCUAAGUGUGCGUGUGACAGGUGCUGACAAGGCUGGAAAAGUAGGUGCCUCUUCGAUUUCUGAGAUCAGCCCUCGUGGUCUCUGAGGAGCCCAGCUUUUGAGAAAGCGAGCGCCUCUUCGAUUUCUGAGAUCGGCUUUCGUGGUCUUUGAGCAGCCCAACUUUUGAGAAAGCAAACACCUCUUCGAUUUAUGCGAUCAACCCUCGUGGUCUCUAAGCAGCCCAGCUUUUGAGAAAGCAAACGCCUCUUCGAUUUCUGAGCAGGCGCCUCUUCGAUGUCUGAAGCUCCGUCGAGUGCAGCUUUUUAUAGGGGCUGGCAUUAAGUUCCAAAGCACACUUGAAUCUCCACCAGUAGAAGCUCCAUUCUUGCACUUCUAAGAUCUUGAUUUGUCCGACCUCUUCUCUCUUCAACACCUUUGAAAAUGUCUGGCCCCUCCGACCGUCGUUUUGACUUGAACCUUGUUGAAGAGGCAGCCCCGCCUUCUCCAGACAACAUAUGGCGCCCAUCCUUCGUCUCCCCUACUGGUCCUCUUACCGUUGGGGAUUCCGUGAUGAAGAAUGAUAUGACCGCUGCGGUGGUGGCCAGGAACCUUCUCACUCCCAAAGAUAACAGACUACUUUCCAAACGGUCUGAUGAGUUAGCUGUUAAGGAUUCGCUGGCUCUCAGUGUUCAGUGUGCAGGUUCUGUGUCUAAUAUGGCCCAACGCCUAUUUGCUCGAACCCGCCAAGUUGAAUCAUUGGCGGCCGAAGUGAUGAGUCUCAAACAGGAGAUUAGAGGGCUCAAGCAUGAGAAUAAACAGUUGCACCGGCUCGCACAUGACUAUGCUACAAACAUGAAGAGGAAGCUUGACCAGAUGAAGGAAACUGAUGGUCAGGUUUUACUUGAUCAUCAGAGAUUUGUGGGUUUGUUCCAAAGGCAUUUAUUGCCUUCGUCUUCUGGGACUGUACCGCGUAAUGAAGCUCCAAAUGAUCAACCUCUGAUGCCUCCUCCUUCUAGGGUUCUGUCCAGUACUGAGGCUCCGAAUGAUCCCCCUCCGAUGCCUUCUCUUUCUGAGGCUCUACCGACUGCUGAGACUUCUCCUAAGCAACCUUUGUGAAGGCUCCAUCUUGUUUGUUUAUUUUGACUCAUGUAUAUGUACAUAUUUGUAGCUUAUCGAGGAUAUCAAUAAAUAAGCUUUUCUUCAUUUCAACGUAUUGUGUUAAAUACACCAAAGCCUUCUUCGCUAAGUUCUUUGAAUUUUCUUUUGUUGAAGCUUGUAUGUUGAAGCUUUCUGAGUGGAGCAUGUAGGUUGGGGUAGUGUUCCCUUAAUUUUCCGAGUGAGGAAAACUUCUCGGUUGGAGACUUGGAAAAUCCAAGUCACUGAGUGGGAUCGGCUAUAUGAAUCUUAGAACGCCAUUGUGCUCGGUCCUGUGUCAUGUCCUUCGUUAGAUCCAAGUACUCUAAGUCUUUUCUUAGAGUCUCUUCCAAAGUUUUCCUAGGUCUUCCUCUACCUCUUCGGCCCUGAACCUCUGUCCCAUAGUCGCAUCUUCUAAUCGGAGCGUCAGUAGGCCUUCUUUGCACAUGUCCAAACCACCGUAACCGAUUUUCUCUCAUCUUUCCUUCAAUUUCGGCUACUCCUACUUUACCCCGGAUAUCCUCAUUCCUAAUCUUAUCCUUUCUCGUGUGCCCACACAUCCAGCGAAGCAUCCUCAUCUCCGCUACACCCAUUUUGUGUACGUGUUGAUGCUUCACCACCCAACAUUCUGUGCCAUACAGCAUCGCCGGCCUUAUUGCCGUCCUAUAAAAUUUUCCCUUGAGCUUCAGUGGCAUACGGCGGUCACACAACACGCCAGAUGCACUCUUCCACUUCAUCCAUCCAGCUUGUAUUCUAUGGUUGAGAUCUCCAUCUAAUUCUCCGUUCUUUUGCAAGAUAGAUCCUAGGUAACGAAAACGGUCGCUCUUUGGUAUUUCUUGAUCUCCGAUCCUCACCCCUAACUCGUUUUGGCCUCCAUUUUGCACUGAACUUGCACUCCAUAUAUUCUGUUUUUGAUCGGCUUAGGCGAAGACCUUUAGAUUCCAACACUUCUCUCCAAAUGUUAAGCUUUGCAUUUACCCCUUCCUGAGUUUCAUCUAUCAACACUAUAUCGUCUGCGAAAAGCAUACACCAAGGAAUAUCAUCUUGAAUAUGUCCUGUUAACUCAUCCAUUACCAACGCAAAAAAGGUAAGGACUUAAGGAUGAGCCUUGAUGUAAUCCUACAGUUAUGGGAAAGCUUUCGGUUUGUCCUUCAUGAGUUCUUACGGCAGUCUUUGCUCCUUCAUACAUAUCCUUUAUAGCUUGGAUAUAUGCUACUCGUACUCCUUUCUUCUCUAAAAUCCUCCAAAGAAUGUCUCUUGGGACCCUAUCAUACGCUUUUUCCAAAUCUAUAAAGACCAUGUGUAAAUCUUUUUUCCCAUCUCUAUAUCUUUUCCAUCAAUCUUCGUAAGAGAUAGAUUGCCUCCAUGGUUGAGCGCCCUGGCAUGAACCCGAAUUGGUUGUCCGAAACCCGUGUCUCUUGCCUCAAUCUAUGCUCAAUGACUCUCUCCCAGAGCUUCAUUGUAUGACUCAUUAACUUAAUACCCCUAUAGUUCAUGCAAUUUUGUACGUCGCCCUUAUUCUUGUAGAUAGGCACCAAAGUGCUCGUUCGCCACUCAUUUGGCAUCUUCUUCGUUUUCAAAAUCCUAUUGAAAAGGUCAGUGAGCCAUGUUAUACCUGUCUCUCCCAAAACUUUCCACACUUCGAUUGGUAUAUCGUCUGGGCCUAUUGCUUUUCUAUGCUUCAUCUUCUUCAAAGCUACAACCACUUCUUCUUAACAUUAUGUUGUCAAAAAUAUUUUGUGAACAUUUUGACAAAAAAUAAUUCAAAUUAUGAUACUAAAUUCUUUUCUUCACAAAGAAACGUAACUAGAAUGACUACAUUAUUGGAUUAUAUCAUGCCUAUGUCAUGGCUCUAUUAUUGGACUAUGUUAUAAUCCAUUAUUUAUGAUCUAUAUAAGAUUUCAAUUCUUUGCAAGCGUUGGAUCAGAUUUUCUUAUCUUAAUCUCACCCUCAGAUUUUCAUUAAUCUUUUUAUCCUCUCAAUAUAAAAAGAGGUCUCUAUAUAUCUAUCACAUUCAUCAUAUUUUAUCCAUUCCAUUUUCCUUGUAUGAAACGAAAUCCUGCAAUGGUGUCGUUGAAUGUUUGCAAACAACCCAUGGAUUUUACCUGAAAGGUGCUCGUGUGGCCCUUAGUCAAGCUCUGGUAAACUUGAGUCUUGAUCUUCUUCAGAAAAUGGGAUAUAUGGAACUGCAGACCCCAUUUUUCAAGAGCAAAGAUAUCAAGUGAAAGAGUGCUCAAAACUGUUUAUGGGGCCAUAUAGAGUUCGUUACAAUCCAUGCUUGUGUUUUUUUAAGAUUGAUGUUUGUGUGAUUGAACAUUCUUUUAGUUAUGAUACUGCCAAGCUAAUCUCUGUCAUUGUUCAGAGUCUUCCUUUAAAUUAGAAUAGUUAGAAUAUUUCAUUUAUUUUUUGUCUUUUAUACUGGAUACACUUGCAUUCUUAUGAAAAAUUACAUAUUUAUUCACAUAAAUAUUACAUCAGGUGCUUCAUACAUAUCUUCAGAAUUCUUCUACUUUGCAAUCGUUUUUGUCACCUAAUUCCAGCAAAUACUAGCAUCUCAGAAAACAACUUAAUAAUAUGUAAGAUUGACUCAAAUUGUCACGCAAGGGGCUGUAGCGUCACCUUUGCUUGUACAAUUAACUGGACCCUUUUACUUUACAUUUUGACAUUAUAUUAAUGUGUCCUUGUUCAUGAUCUGAGAUUAUUUUAUUUAUUUUUAUUUCAUAUUAGGCUAAGAGGAUGCUCAAAAAUCUUCUUCUGAUAUGUGAUGAUUUUUAUGCACCAUUUACCCCUGCUUUUUAUAAAAGAAAGUUGAAUAGUUUUUAUGAAUCUGAUGAAUGUAGAUGAUUCAAUUCUAAGUUUGAUCAAUUUGUAUUUUAUCACUUUCAGUCACAGCAAAUCAAGAGCCAGCCAAAUGGCCAUGUCUAUGGCCAAAGGGGCCAUGACCAUAGGAGAGAUGAGGUUGUUGCUGCUCCAGGAGCGCCUGAUAGAGUAUAGAAAUUGAUGUAUAGGAUGAUGACAUGUGUAAUUAGAUUAGAAGAUGUGUUAGUUAAGACAGUUAGCCUUGUUGUUGGAAGUGUAUAAAUAUAUCAACCUCUUGUAUUACUUGGUGACUACGAAAUAUAUCAAGAACAUUCAUUCUCUCUCUCUCCUCUCUGAGUUGUUAUCUCUCUCUAGAAUUUCUGUAUACAAUUUCAUAGAUUUAGUUACAUUUACAUGGUAUCACUCGCCUUUGUUGCCUGCGCUUGAUCUUCGAUCCUCCUUUUCUCCUUUUCUGCUUCCACUCGCCUUUGUUGCAUGCGCUUGAUCUUGUAAAUUUGUCUUCGGUAUCUUCAAUUCUCUUCGUCUUCUUGAAAUCCUGAGUUCUAGGGUUUUUCUUGGUUGAUCGUCUUCAUGCGUCGAUCAUUUCUUCUGCUCUUUUGGUUAGUGCAUACCACCUGUUUGCUAAAAGUUCUCACUGAGUUUGUUUGCAGCAAUUUCAAUGGUGACUGCAUCGCAACUUCAACUUGUGCAAUCCCCGAUUACUGCCCUAAUCUCCUCCAUUUCGACUUCGGUGAAUGUCAAAUUGGAUGACUCUAACUAUCUUAAUUGGCACUUUCAGAUACAACUCUUGUUGGAGAGCAAUGGAAUUAUGGGAUUUGUUGAUGGCUCACAUCCCUGUCCUUCUUAAUUUUCCCAUCACUCUGGUGUCUCUGGUAUGAACUCUAGCUCUAAUGCUUCUGUUGCAACGGAUGAGUUUAUGAUUUGGAAAAUGCAUGAUAAGGCUGUAAUGCAACUGCUAACUGCUACCCUUUCGCCUGCUGCUCUAUCAUGUGCUAUUGGUAGUAAGAGUUCUCAGGAUAUAUGGAUUCGUUUGAAAGAACAAUUAUCUACUGUGUCUAAGACUAGUAUCUUUCAAAUGAAAUCUAAUCUCCAAACAAUUAAGAAGGGUUCUGAUUCUGUGUCCCAGUAUCUUUAUAGGAUAAAAGAGGCUCGGGAUUACUUAUCUGCUGCUGGAGUUCACUUUGCUGAUGAAGAUAUUGUUAUCCUUGCUCUCAAUGGUUUACCCUCUGAAUAUAAUACUUUUCAGUGUGUCAUUAGAGGUCGUGAGAAUGUGAUAUCUCUUAAAGAGUUUCGAUCUCAGUUGCUUGCUGAAAAGAUUAUUGUUGAGAAUUCUACCACUGCACCAUUUAUUACUGCAAUGGUUGCAAACAAUGUUUCGCAUUCCGGAAAGGGUACAUCUGGUCAGUCUCAAUUUUUCUCUGGCGGUUAUAAGACGUUCAAUGGCAACAGAAACAAAGGAAAAGGCAAGUUUAAUCAAGGGUUUCGGUCUUAUCCACCCAAACUGUCUUUUUCCACUCAAACACAUGUGCUACCAACACCUACCAACACCGAAUCCGGGCAUCCUUGGUCACUCCCUAGUGCAGUCUUAUGGCAAUUCAAGUGCUCCCUUGGUGCAAACCUGUCAACUUUGUAAUGCUGAAGGACACACAGCACCAUUCUGCCGUCCUAACCCUUAUAACAGAGCUAAUUGUCAAAUUUGUGGCAAGCACAAUCACAGCACAUGGUAUUGUUUUUAUAAUGACAAAGGUCCUAAUUUUGUUGGUGCUACCAGUCAGUUUUAUCCGUCUCCGAUGAAUUCCUCAAACUUUGGUGCUCCCGGUUACAAUGCUUCUAGUCAGCAAUCUGCAAUGACUGGACAUCAAUUCUAUCCUCAGCAUCACUCUCCUCAAGCUCUGCAUACUGUGAUGACUCCGUCACCUUUCGUGACAUCUCCUUCUCACUCUAAUCCUCAAGUAUGGCUCACUGACUCUGGUGCUACAAAUCACAUGACUUCGGAUCUCAGCAACUUAUCUUUGGCAUCUCCAUACCCUACCUCUGAGAUUGUCCAAACUGCCAAUGGUGAAGGUUUGCCUGUAUCUCAUAUUGGAAGUACUGUUCUUAAUCUUUCCACAGUUAAUUUUGUUCCUCCAAUGAAGCUCAAUUCUGUGUUAUAUGUUCCGAAGUUAACACAAAACUUAUUAUCUGUGCAUCGGAUCUGUUUGGAUAACAAUUGCUGGAUAAUUUUUUAUGCUUUUUGCUUCUGGAUUCAGGACAAGGCCAUAGGGAGGAUCAUUUACAAAGGAGUAUGCAGUAAUGGUCUAUACUCAAUUCCCUGUCUUUCAACCGCUUCUCAUGGAUCCACCUCAGUACCGUUCCAAGCUCAAGCUCUUCUUGGUCAGCACAUUCACUCUACUACUUGGCACAAUAGACUAGGCCAUCCAUCUAAUUCUAUUGUCUCUUUGAUGUUAAAACAAGCUCAUAUUUCCUGUCCAAAACCAUCCUUACCUGUAAUGUGUUCUAGUUGUUUGGAGGGAAAGUUUUGUAAAUUUCCUUUUCCUCUAAGUCCCAAUAAGUCUAUAAAACCCUUUGCUCUAGUUCACAGUGACCUUUGGGGUCCAGCCCCUUCUGUUUCUAUUGAUGGUUACAAGUAUUAUGUGACCUUUAUUGAUGAGUGUACAAGAUACUGCUGGAUUUUCCCAUUAAUAAAUAAAUCUGAUGUCUUUGCCAAAUUUCUUGCAUUCUAUUCCUUUGUUGUUACUCAGUUUGCAACUCCUAUUCAAACUCUUCAAAGUGGUGGGGGGGAGAGUAUGUCAGUAAAGCAUUUUAGUCAUUUCUUCUUGCAAAAGGCAUUACACAUCAUAAAUCCUGUCCAUAUACACCUGAGCAAAAUGGCCUAGCUGAGAGAAAGCAUAGGCAUAUCAUUGAAACAACGGUGACCCUUUUACAAACUGCUAGAUUACCUGCCAUGUUUUGGUCCUAUGCUUGUCAAACCGCCAUAUACCUCAUCAAUAGAAUGCCCACUCCUGUCCUAGGCAAUCAUUCUCCAUUUGAACUAUUGUUUGGGCUUCUGCCUGUCAUUUCCCACCUUAGAUCAUUUGGAUGUGCUUGUUAUCCGUUAUUAAAGCCUUAUAAUGACUCUAAGCUGCAACCAAAAACCACUAAGUGUAUUUUCCUGGGGUAUGCUACCAACUAUAAAGGGUAUCUAUGUUAUGAGGUUUCUAAACAAAGACUAUACAUAUCACGGCAUGUAGUGUUUGAUGAGUCUCAAUUCCCAUACACAGACUUAUUGGUCCAUCAUAACUCCUCACACCUUAGUUCUACCAUCCACAGUCCAGUACCUAUUGUUUCCACUGAUAAUGUUGUGGUAUCUAUGCCUAUUGUUCCCAUAACAUCACCAUCACAUCCUGCCUCUUCUAAUUUGCUUGGUUCUCCUACCAUAUCACUCUCUCCAAUUACAUCAUCACCACUAUCCUCUCAAUCCAUUACUGCUUCUACUACUUCUCAACCUCCUGUGGCACUUGUCAAUGGUUCUCCUCAGUCUCAAGUUCCAGCAGUACAAUUUCAUCCUGAUACUUUGUCAGUGGUCCUGGAGGUUCCACCACUCAAUUUACAUCCUAUGCAAACUCGGAGCAAGAGUGGCAUUAUCAAGAAAAGAGCUUUGUUAGCUACUGUUCAGGAAUCUGAGGGUACUGAUUUGUCUCUUAUUGAACCAACUUCCUAUAAAUCUGCACUUAAGAAUCCAAUUUGGUUUAAGGCUAUGCAAGAGGAAAUCAGUGCUUUGCAUACACAAGGUACCUGGAAUCUGGUGGUCUUACCUUCCUCAAAGAAUUUGGUGGGGUGCAAGUGGAUCUUCAAGAUCAAGAGACAUUCUGAUGGUACAAUUGCACGGCAUAAAGCUAGAUUAGUAGCUAAAGGGUUCAGUCAAGAACCUGGAAUUGACUAUGGGGAAACGUUCAGUCCUGUGGUUAAACCUACAACUGUUAGGUUAGUAUUGGCUCUUGCAGCUCAGUUUGGUUGGUCCCUUCGACAACUCGAUGUCAAAAAUGCCUUUUUACAUGGCAUUUUAGAAGAAGAAGUGUACAUGGCUCAGCCUCCUGGGUUUGAAGAUGUUCAUCAUCCUCACCUUGUUUGCAAACUGCACAAAUCCCUAUAUGGACUCAAGCAAGCUCCCCGAGCUUGGAAUGAUAGAUUCACAAAAUUCCUGCCUCAUUUGGGGUUUCAAAACACUUAUUUGGAUUCCUCUUUGUUUGUCAAAAAUGUUGAUUCUGGUAUUGUCAUUCUCCUACUCUAUGUGGAUGAUAUUAUCAUCACAGGGAGUGCAUCUGCAUCCAUACAACAGGUUAUUACUGCAUUGACAACUGAGUUUGACAUCAAGGAUUUAGGGGAUUUGCAUUUCUUUCUUGGCAUUCAAAUUUCACGAAUUGCAACUGGUUUAUUCUUGUCUCAAUCGAAAUAUGUGUUGGAUCUUCUCACCAAAACAGAUAUGCUCGAUGCAAAACCUUGUGACACUCCUUGUUUGCCGUAUAACAGGCUUCUCAAGGAUGAUAGUGAUCCAUAUACCAAUCCUACUUUGUACAGAAAUGUGGUAGGUGUUUUGCAGUACCUUACGUUUACAAGGCCGGAUAUAGCAUUCUCUGUCCAUCAAGUGGCUCAGUUUAUGCAAUCACCUAUGGUUGCCCACUUUACCGCAGUUAAACGAAUCUUGAGGUACUUAAAAGGAACCCUUCGUCAUGGCAUCAGUUAUUCUCGAGGAUCGCUUCAAUUAAAGGCCUUCAGUGAUGCUGACUGGGCAGGGGACCCUAAUGACCGACGGUCGACCACUGGCUUGGUUGUGUUUUUAGGGAAUAGUCUUAUUUCCUGGUCAUCCAAGAAGCAACUGACAGUCUCCCGAUCUUCUACAGAGGCCGAAUACCGUGCCCUGUCAUCCACAUCUGUAGAAUUGGAAUGGAUCCAGCAACUGUUAGUCUUCUUGCAGGUUCCUUUAUCCUCUACACCUGUGUUGUUUUGUGAUAAUUUGUCGGCCAUUGCGUUGUCUUUUAAUCCAGUUCAACAUCAACGCACUAAACACAUUGAGAUUGAUGUCCAUUUUGUGAGGGAACGAGUGGCAAAUAAGCAACUCUCUGUGCAGUUUGUGUCGUCCAAAGAGCAGUUUGCUGACAUUCUGACUAAAGGCUUGAGUUCUCCUUUAUUUCAUACUCAUUGUACCAAUCUCAUGCUUCGUGCAUCCCAGCAUGAGUUUGCGGGGGGAUGAUAGAGUAUAGAAAUUGAUGUAUAGGAUGAUGACAUGUGUAAUUAGAUUAGAAGAUGUGUUAGUUAAGACAGUUAGCCUUGUUGUUGGAAGUGUAUAAAUAUCUCAACCUCUUGUAUUACUUGGUGACUACGAAAUAUAUCAAGAACAUUCAUUCUCUCUCUCCUCUCUGAGUUGUUAUCUCUCUCUAGAAUUUAUGUAUACAAUUUCAUAGAUUUAGUUACAUUUCCAGCGCCAACCCCUUCUUCUCCUAUGGCCAUGGCUCUAGACCUCCUCUCCUCUUUCUGCUUGAUCAUGAUAAUUGACGUGUAUUUAGCAUGGUCAACAAAGAGGACUUCGAGCGGGUUAAAGCCAGAACUACUAGGUGUGUUAAGAUUGUAUUCAUAUACAUACAAGAUAUUAGAGUGGUUCAACUUUAAUUGUACUGCUUUCACUUAGUAGUAUACUUUGUAUUGGUUUUGAUAAAAAAAAUUUGCAAAAAGUUGGGCGCACUCUAAGAUGUUAAUUAUCUUGAAAUUUAAAGCCUCUAAAACUUCAUAACGGAGAUCAGUUUUAAAUGAAAAUGGCUUGUUUAUGUAGACUUCGCAAUUAACUUAUAAUUUGAUUUCAUAUGUUGAAACAUUAGGGUUAUGUAUUGACGAUGGUAAGUAAUGGCAUAGAAGAGGAAUAUUAGCAACUUUCUCUUUUUGUACCUUUGCUUUUUACAUUUUAUAUUUAUUUUUAAGAUCAUAUAAUUAAAUUGUUAUUUAAUACUACGAUCUAAUGGUAUUCUUCUUCAUGUGUAAAUGAGAGGUUUUAUAUUCGAUUUUUAUCAAAGGCGAAAUAGAACCAAACUCAUUGUGACGUUACCCCCACCUCUAGUGUAUAUAAUAUUGUAUGUAUUAAAAAAAGAUCCUAUAAUUAAACUUGAUAAUCGAAACCAUUAAUUUGUGCACCACUUUGUAAAGAAUAGAAGUUAUCAAAAUAAAAAAAAUUAAUUGUGACAAAUAUAAUUAGCCAGCUAAUAUUCAUGCCAAACUACUUGCCAAAAACACAAAAUAAGGUAGGUUGGUGCUUUAUUGUAGUGACGGAAAGUAAUCAUGUUUAUGCACCCAGGCGCAUGUAAGAUUUCCACUGAUUCCCCUCCCUCCUAAUAAUUAGUCUUUGUUGGCUUGCUCACUCUCUUUUCCUUCACUGAAAAUUUUCCCAAGUGGUUAUUUUCAGGUAAGGUUUUUCAGAAACCCUCGUUUUGAACUUGUCGUGGGACUAUUGUUUGUUUCAUAAACAACUUGAGCAGGGGUAGGGUUUGGUUCAUCCUCUGAUGAUUGACAUGUUGUGGAUCGAGAGAAGACUACGAUCGAUGCCCAGGAAAACUCGAUCAAUCAUUCGUUUUGGAAGAACAAGAGCCGUGGUCCUACGGUUCAUGAUUGUACAAACAAUGAUCCCACCAGCUGAUGAUCAAGAAAAAUGGACUUGCCACUUGCCAGACAUUGUCACAACGACAAGGCUUUGGCAUCGAUCAUGUCAUGCAAGUGGGACGACCGAUCGAGCAUUUUCAUCACUGACAACCUCCUAAGUAAAUCAAAAGAAAAUUAUUUGGCAUAACUAAUGUUCAAAAAGAGAAAAAUGGUAUGCGGAAUUUAUUUCUAGAGAGAGAAGCAAUGACUUGGCUGACCCCAACAUCAACAUGCAUGAUUGUAACAACUCAAAUAACAGAAAAAGAUCUCUCCUCUCUAAUCGUUUGAGGCAUAUACGUAAAAAACAGCCUACCACCUCAGCUUGCUGCCAAUCAAUCAACAAUAAUAAUGUUCACUAUAAAAUUUUCUCAGCAUUGAAUUUUUGUGGUAAAUUCCCUCUUGAAAAAUGGUUGAGUGUGACCUCUAUUUCCUUCUAUCUCUGCAGGUUGAAAAAGUUGUGACGGAGAUAUUUGAUGGAUUCUCUUCCAAACUUUGCCUCCAUAAUUUUCGUUGCAAAAAUCUUUCUACUUUGAUUCGCUCGCUUUUCCUGGUUUUUUUUCUUUACAAGCACGAGAGGAAUCGAACUCGUACCUAUAUAUCUUAAUCUUAACCACACCCUAUCUUCAUGUGUUUUCAUUUAAUAAUUAAGUAGCGAUUUCGUUACUAAACUAAUUAAGAACCUUGAUUGAAAAAUCUUACAACCCAGUCGAAAAUCUCAAGUGGAUAUGGUAAUUUUGCUCCAAUAGUUGGCAGCAAAAUUAUCUGGUACUUCAUGCAACUUGUCAUUCAACUUGGCGCACCAGUUGGCCAAACGUCACAACGAUGAAGGGAUGAAACAGGCUAAAAGCCAACAAAACAAACCAAACAUCUUGUAAAAAGGGAACAUAAUUUACGCUGGUCUUCUUCUUAGAUUUACAGCUUUCAAGUGUGCAUGAUGAUACAAUUUUGUUCCUGCAUGAAAACAAAAGGGACGAUCAAAUAUGUUAUCUUUUUAACUUUUUACAACAUCACUUGUAACGGUAUUUAAAUAUAAUUAUAAAAUGUUAUGCGAGAAAUUUAAAAUACAUAACAGUAUACUAUUAGCUUGAGAUACUAGUUUGAGGUUUGAUUAAUCAUAAAGCUCCAAGUUAAGAAAAAGGGUAAGUUAAUAACUUUGAUAAUUUUAACUUGAGCAACAAAAGUUUGAUGGUGCUGCAACUACAAUAUUAUUACAUAGUAUCUCUUGUGCACGAAUAACAUGUCUUGGUGACAGAUAGAAAUUCACUCCUGAUUUCUAUCCGGAGUAAACAGAACAUGGAAUUCAAAUUUUUCAAAUUCCAACUUAACGCUCAGGUUCGGACACUAACAUCUGGAGAGGAUCCGAAUUCCACCCUGACGACGCAAAGCCUCCUCUACUUCCCGACAAACCUCCAACAAAACCUCUCUGAUUCUUCUCCUUUUAUAAUUUUGUGUUAGUACAAGAAUCUCAUGUUAUAUUAAUCCUAAAGGCUUUCUUACCAUAACAAUAUAAUAUCCGGCCAUGACUCUUAUCCCUACUCCCUAUUACAAUGAUUCCUCAACCAUUUGAUCCUCUGGAUCUAAUUAACAUAUCAAGUACACAUGGGCAUGGCCUCAUCACAUAAUAAUUUAAGGGGUGUGCUAUCCACACACCCCUUUUUACUUCUCUCACAUCCUUUUUUACUUUUCCCACACCCCUUGUUAAUUUCGGUCAUUUGAUAUUCUUCAAUUCAUCCGAUCCAACAGUCAAAAAUUAAAAGAGUGUGAGAGAAGUAAAAAUGGUGUGUGGAUAUCAUGUCCCUAAUUUAAAUACCGAAUCAAGAAAAAUCUUAGGUGUAACCAUUUCACUAUUUCAUUUUCUCACUCUUUUAAGUUGUGAAAGGUAGAUAAUACAACAAUUACAUGAAAGAUUGAUAAAAUCUCUCCCAAAAUUGAAUUUAAACAAAACCAGCUUGACGAGAAAUAUUAUUGUGUUACGUGAGAUUAUGUUAUAUUAUUGUGGCGAAAGCACUUAUUACGUGACCAAAUCACAUGAUAAGCAUUUUAGAUCAUAUGACGAGUGUUGUAGUAAACACAUCAAGAUGUAUCCUGGGAAAGAUUCUCUCCAUCUGGACACCAUGAAAUCAAUCAUAUUCUAAACUCUCAUUAGGGUUUUCAAUGAUUUGUUUUAAUUAACUUUGUUUAUGAAAGGGGUGGUGGUGGCUGAUUAAUUAGUGGCAGGUGGGAUUCUGAUUCUGAUUUUCUUACAUAAUUGACACUCACACACACGCACCAAAACAAAUGUUGCAAUGCAUGACGUGAUAUGGACGGUUGUGAUGUGGGUUGUCAUGCUCGAUAUAAAAAGGAAACCAGUGGCGGGGAAACAUGCAAGUUUUAGGGUUUUUUGUACUUGUCAAAUAUUCCAAUUGUAUUGACGUUAUUGGAUGGCUUUUAUACUACAUGUUACAGCGGUACAUGCUUAGAGUGCCUGAGAAUGUUAGGGUUAGUCGCGAACAAACACUAGUGUAUCUCUUUCUGAUGAAUAAAGAGUAAAAUUUGCAUAUAUCAACCAUUAAAAAAUUAUACAGUCGUGAGUGUAGCAAAAUCUUAAUUGGAGUUCGUUUGAAACUAUUUAGCAAAAUCUUAAUUAUUUACCGUUGUAACAAUUUCAUUUCCUAGUGAAGCUAAGCGGCAUAGGAUACUUCAUUGCAAUGAGAGGUCCAUCACAAGCCAGUUUUAGGUACAUGGGGUCAGGGUGCAUUACUCCACGGGCCAUGGAACAUGGCUAGCAGGUCCCGGACAAGGUCGGGUCAUUGAUAACCCAGGGUCCCUCACCGCAGCAGAAUCCCACACACUAAUGGCGCGUUUACUAAUCCGUAAUCAAAUUGAGAGGAAUUGGAUUGAGGGGGAAUUGGAUUGAGGAAGAAUUGAAAUGAGGUGGAAUCAGAAUCAGAUUCCUGUUGAAGUUGUUUACUAAAACUGUCAGGAAUCGGAGUAGGAAUGAUGUUGAGUCCAUAUAAGUUGUUUACUAAUUCAUUUCAAUCGGAAUGAAAACUAGGUUGAUUACUUUAUUGCCCUUACAUAAAUAAAUUAUUUUCAUACUAAUUAAUUUAAUUAAAUUCUUAAUUAAAUUUAUAUAAUAAAAUUCAUCUAUAUAAGCAUGUAUAAAUAGGUUUUAUUUAUUUAUUAAAAGAUGGCAAAAAUGAUAUUGAAUCUAUAUAAGUUGUUUACUAAUUCACUUCAAUCGGAAUGAAAACUAAGUUGAUGACUAAAUUGCCCUUACAUAAAUAAAUUAUUUUCAUACUAAUUAAUUAAAUUAAAUUCUUAAUUAAAUUUAUAUAAUAAAAUUAUCUAUAUAAAAAAAUAUAAAUAGGUUUUAUUUAUUUAUUAAAAAUGACAUAAUGAGUGUCAAAUGAAGGGCAAUGUUGGGAUAAUAAGAAACAAGUGAGGGCAUAAUUGGAAUAAAAGAUGCAUUCCUGAUUCCCUUGCCCUUAGGGAAUUCAAAUACCUCACAAAACUAGGGAAUCCGGUUCCUCCAAUUUCAGGAAUUGGAUUCCUUGUUUCGUGUGGGCUCCACCACUUUUUUGAUUCCUUAAUAUUUAGUAAACACCGGAAUACUCCGUAAUCGGAAUUCAAUUCCCUUUCUUUAUUCCGAUUACCCUUACGUAAACAUGCCAUAAGGCCGGUAUAAGGGAGAGGGAUCCUCAAUAGUACCUUACAAAAGGGGAGGGGGUCCUCCAUUUGAUGAAAAGAAUUUUUGCCGGAUCAUUUUCAUAAGGAUCCUGUAAUCGUGACCGUUCAUCGUAUAUUGUGCGAUUAGAAAUUAUUUUAAAAUUUAAAAUUUAAAAUUAAAUAUAAAUAGUACUUAACGAAAACUGACCGCAUGAUAUACGAUGAACGAUCACGAUUACGAGAUUCCUAAGAUCCUUAGGAAAAGAAUGCGACGAAGAUCCUUUUCCCCAUUUGAUAUACAUGAAACAUCAUCAACCCUUAUCCUCCCAUAACCCAAGUGGAUAACAAAUGCAACUUUUUAUGUUAAAAAUCAAAUGACAUGAUUUAUCAAAUUUUAUAAAUAACGAGUUUGAUAUUAAUUUAUUUUUUUAAUAUAAAUAUAUUCCAAAUAUAAUAAAAUAAAUCAAUGAUGUUAUCAUGAAAAUGAGUGCGUAUAGAAAGUUAACAUAGCCAUGAUACUUAACAAUAAACUACUACGAGUAAUCAGUGGUUAAAAAUGAAUUUUAAGUCCAAAUUUCACACGACGUGUUUUUAGUUCGAUUUCUAGCGCUAGCAAAUAACACGAUGGUGGUCAGAGGAAGCCUGAAAUGCUUAUAUGAGUCUUCCAAACUCUUGAAAUAAUGAAUUGUCGUUGCGAAGCCACUAGUUAGUCUCCUUUUACAAAACAAAAAUGGUACUUUAACAAUAGACUUGAUUGAUCUCGUACUUACUGUGCAAUUUUCAUUUGUUAAUAAUUUGAGAAAAAAAUUUGCAGUAUGAUAGUUGAUAAUGUGGAUGGACAUGCUACUCUCACAAAAGAACGUAUCCUCUUACAUUUGAGUAUCAUCUAGCUCAUGUAAGUACAACAUUCAACUCACAAGCAUGUGUAAGAGUGAUACGAUCAGCUACAUGAUCAUAUUGCCUUAUCAAAAAAAUUCUCAUGCGUUUUAAAGAUUUGUAUUAUAACUUUGGUGGAAUUGAUGGAUAUGUACUAACAUAUGCACAGUACAAAGCCAUGAUAAGAUUUUGGACAUUGUUCGUUGCAAUGUGCACCAUACACUCAUAAGUCACACUAUUUUUAAGAAUACAUGGUCAGCAGGUUCUAGAAUUGUUUUAUUAUAAUAUCGAGCAUAAGUACACUACUUUUCAGUCAAAUUGCACAAAUUAGUGAUUCGAGCAUAAACUUCAUUACUUUAUUAGUAGAUUUACAACUUCGUAAUAAACUAACCAUAGAUGGUGGUUUAGUGGUUGUGAACGAAUUUUAGGUUUGUAUUUUAUAUGGUACGUUAUGAGUUUGAUUAUUGGCGUUAGUGAAUAAUAUAAUGAUAGCCGGGAGAGUUUGAAAUGUCUAUGUAUGUCUUUCUAGCCUUCGAAAUAGUGGAUUAUCGUGGUGAAGCCACUAGCUGGUCUUUUUAAAAAAAAUUCAUGAUAAAGUGCUUGCAUAAUAUUUAAUCAAUUUUGUCUCUUGACAACUGAUAAUAUUAGUUCAAUAACAAUCGCAAAUGGGUAAUGCUAGGAAAACUAAAUUUGUAGACAAAAUUUACAAACUAAAUAAUGUUUUAUAAAUAAAAAUGAGCAGGUUUAUCAACACUUAAGUAAUAAUCCAACCAUCACUUUUCAUGUCAUUUAGUUUAUAAAAUUUUAUUUGCAAAUUUUGUCUUCCUACCAUUACCCACGCAAACACAAAUUUCCAUUCUUUAAAACGGAACUUUAUGUUUCUUAAAGUAAACCGAAAUUUCAAAAGAAUUAUUUAUAAAAUAAAAUAUAAAUAAAAAUAAAAAAAAUAAAAAAAACCCUAUAUAAUUGGAUGUGAUUUGUGAAGCUCCAUCAAAUAUGGGCCUUCCAAAAACGACAAGUCGUUAUUGGACCCCACUAUUGUAUUUUGGACCGUCCAAUGUGGCCUUCACAAACACUUUGCUUUUCUAUCCUAAGUGGAGAUUUAAUUAAUUUAACCCCAACACUAAACUUGAUUAAAACCCCUUAACCAUCAAUUCUGCAGACGCUAAUCUUCUGGUCAUCAUCAUUAGGGAGUAUUUUUGCUCACCAUCAUUUAAUAUGGUGUAUGCUCACUAUCCUAUUUAUCACCAUUAGAUAUGUUUAAAUUUCGAGAUUCGUACAGUAGAUAAGCACAAAUCUCAAAAUUCAAACUUAUAUAAUGAUGAUAAAUAAGAUGGUGAGUAUACAUCAUACUAAAUGAUGGUGAGCAAAAAUACCCCCAACACAAAACAAAAAACAUCCUUAACCAUUUAUUUACUUAUUUUUAACUGAAGAUAUUAUCUGCCGGUCAUUGUCCAUCCACGUGGCAUGGAGGAAGACCCUGAAAGCGGGACCCGCCUGCUAGUGUAGAGGGAAUACCGACGUGGAUGGUUUGUAGCUUCGCAUACGAUAGCGCGUUCUUAACAAUCACCCAACGAGAUUAUUUAUUUAUUAUUUGUAUACAUGCCUAUAUUAACUAAAUUGAGAAUAAGUUGCUCAUCUGAGUUAAAAUAUUUCUGUCGUAAUUUAGAUCAAACUUUUGCUUAAACAAAAAAUUUAGAUUAAAUUAAUUAAGGGGUAAAUUAUAAUUUGCACACUAGAAUUUAGUUGAAUUGGAACUUCACACAUCAUUCUUUUAUUUCUUUUUUAAUUUAUUGUUAUUAAGAGAAGGAUGAGGGUUUGAAACUAUUAUAAUAAUUUAAAAUUCAGAUGUGUGGAUGAAAAUCCAAUACCCUAUCCAGUAAGAUAUUAGCUGCAAUGUCAUAUAUAUAUUAAAUUAUUCAUUAAUUUGACCGUUAAUUGAUGAUAUCACAAUCCAACAUGUUUACUGCCAUAGUCAUCAAUCCUGCAACCAAUUUCAUUUUCUCCUUCCCUCCCAUUGCUUCGGUAUCUCUAUUUUCCUUCCUUCAUGUGUCAAUGAUCAAGCUGUAAUUUACCCUUUAAAAAAUUGGUAAUCCAUUUCAAGUUGAACACUGCUAUUUAUUUAUUUUAAAUAUUAGCAAUUUGAAUUAUUACUUUCAUAUUUUGUUCAGGCUAUUGUUCAUUAUCUACUUACUAAGGUUACAAUUCACUACUACUUAAAAUCUAAAAAAAUCAAUUGAUGACUUCGUCACGACAAUCAACUCUUUUGAUAACCGAAAAAACUUACAGAGGCAUUUCAACUUUCUUCUAACCACCAUUGUGUGAUUCACCAAUACUAGAAAACAAAAAUAAAAACGUGAUGCAUAGAAUAUGAACCUAAAAUUCGUCCACAACCACUUAGCAAUCAUAUCACACUAAAACAAUUGUUUUUGGUCGAAUUUCUAUCAGGCACAAAAAUAACUGGAAUUGUUUACUACUUCAUAUCGAUAAGUUAAAAAAUUGCAGCGGCCUCAUGCCUCAUAGGUGUAUUUGGUAAUUAGCUCUUAUGAUUUUACAUGAACAUAAGAAAUUGGUUUCCAAUUUAACUCGGAGAAAGUAAGGAUCAACACCUCCACACGUGUUGGCGGGAGCGUGUAUAAUGGAAGAAUUACCCCAUUGAAAUUUUCCUAUUUUUUAAUGUUUCCUGAACCUGUUGCCAUUUUUUAACAAGAACGGAUUCUAUCAAGAGCUAAGCAGCCAGAGCCUCCUCAUCAAACAAUUUGGACCGUAUAAAUUGAAUCUAACGGUUUCUAUUAAUUCAUUUUACUGGCUCACCACACACAACCGACGGCCCUGAUUUGACUUGCACAUCUAUCAGUGGCCCAUAUUGCUUGAUGAGGAGGCUCCGGCUGCUUAGCUCCAAAGAGGAUCCGAUCUCUUUUUUAACAUCACCGUCAUACAUUUUCGAGUAGAAUUCUCUCUUUUUUCAAUUUUUGUCUUUUUCCCAUCUUUCUCUUACCAUUUUUUUUCUUCCUCUACAACGGUAAUAAUUAAAUAUUUAUGUAACUUAAUCGUGAUCAUUUAAACAAAAAUAAAUUUAAAAAACAAAACAAAAAGAGAAAAUUCUACCGCAUUUGAGAGGUUAUCAUAAAGAAAUUGCGUACAAAAUGACGCCCAAAUUCAAAUGAAAUGAAUUAUUUGUUUGUGUGUGAUUUUCUGGGGAAUGCUAUAUAUCUACUAUAUAUAUACAUGUCAACCCCUCCAGUUCCCAGCUUAUGCGUAAGCCUAUAAUAUAUUGAGGGCCGAUAGAAUUGUGAAUUGGUUUCGUGGGGUCUCUCCUUUCCUCAAUUGGGUCGCCGGAAAUUCUCGAUUCCGGGACCUGAAUCCGAUUGAUUAUGACAUAUGGCGAAGGGCCGGAAACUGACGCAGAGCCGCAGCGAACGGUUGCUCGGGACCUACAGCGGCUACAGCCACGCCCAUGACUCGCCGGAGCUCGGCGAGGACGAUGUCUGGUCGAUGGUCAACAGCGUCGACGAGAGGGAGGACCACGAAACCGAGAACUCGCAGGGCGAAUGGAGCCCACACGCCUUCCCGGAGAGCACCGUUGGUAUUCAGGCGAGGAAGGGCCGCCAUAUUGCCAGAGACGACCGCAACGUGGGCGGGCUGUCAUUGGCCUUUGACGAUUCUGGCAAGACGGCGUCGUCGCCUCGGAUCGUGCACCAGUUCCGCGGACACGACAGCGUGGCGUCCCCACGUGGGCACCACAUGGCCACGUCAGCUCCGGUGAACGUGCCUGACUGGAGCAAAAUUCUCCGGGUCGACUCGGUGGACUCGCUGUAUGAAAUGGGCGACGGGUUAGAUGGCAAUGACUCGGAGAUGAUUCCCCCACACGAGUACCUGGCGCGUGAGCACACGCGCGGCGCGACGUCGGUUUUCGAAGGCGUAGGGCGAACCUUGAAGGGCCGGGACAUGAGGCGGGUCAGGGAUGCAGUGUGGAGCCGGACCGGGUUUGAUGGAUAAUUUGCGAUGGAUAGUGCUAUCCACAUAACGAUUUUUACUUCUCACACACUUCUCUCAAUUUUGGUUGUCAAAUCGAAUGAAUUGAAGAAAAUCGGUCAAUAAUCACCAAACAUGUGUGAAAAGUAAAAAUUAGUGUAUAAAUAGUACUACUUUUGUGAUAGAAACUUAAGGAGGUUUAAUUAUUAUGAAAAAUUAUUGAUUUCAGAUCUAGAGGAGUAUAAUUAUUGUUGUGAAUUGGUAAGUUUCGUUGGGCAAUGAUUCAGCUGAGUCUGAUCUAGUCGGACUUAGCUGUGAGUGAGCCCAAUUUGCCCAAAACAUUGAAUUUUUAAUGUCGGAAUUUAGACCCUUCUUGCUCUUUUUUCUAAGUAAAACAAAAUUGGUACUCUCAUUUUGCACUUCGAAGUAUUUUGUUUUCGAUAACGCUGUUUGAACACAUAAAUUAACAUACAUGUUAACAUACACUGUCCAAUAGAAAUGAAUCUCAUCGUCGUAUAUCGAGUCCACAUUUUAAAAUGCCAAUAAAUAUAUCAAUUUUGUGCAACUAAAUAACAUUACUCUAGUCUUAUGAACCUAAGUUCUCAAAAAUAGGAUAAUUACAAAAGAAGUCCUGAUUAUUUUUGUAAAUUCCUUAUUUCUUUUUCUAUCAAAACAUGUUUUCAUGAAGAAAAAAAAAUCCGACCUAAACAUGUUUAUUUUAUUCCUUGAAUUUUUUAACAUCAAUUGAGUUAAGAAGAAAUAAUAUCAUUGAGACCUUGUAAUCAUUUGACUAAAAGUUGCUCGAUCAACGUUCAACUGUUUAAGAUGCGGCCAAUUACAUAUUUGUGUAUAGAGAAUCAAAGUUUGCACCAUCUACACUUGCUAACUCACACCUAUAAACCUUUCUUAAACUCUUAACAAAAACCUAAUCUUAAGACUUAAACUAUACUUUAGUAAUUGAUAAGUGUCUCCAACACUUGUACACCUAAACUAUACUUUGUUAAUUUCAACAUCUUAUUUACCCUUUUAAAUGAAAAUUGAUUAAAAUUAGGUAUUGCUAAUCAACAUGAUUAAUUAACUUUAGAUCAAUGAAUCACAUGAUACAUUUCGACUCCUAAUAAUAACAAAUCACAUUAUAAUGAACAGAGAAAAGCUCGAUGAAUUUUCUUGGCUUUCCAAAUAGUGACACCAGCUAAUAUCUUUUUUGAAAGAAAAGAUCAAUGAUGUGUGGUUUGAUUUCAGCCACAGAUAUAUAUACACAUAUAUGUGUGUGUACACACACACACAUAUAGUUGAGCAUAAGUGUGGGCCCCACUGAUAUCCAAAGCUUAGUGUUGAAUCCAAAAAUUCGGAAGUCGAGUCACUUAUUAGGUAGUGUCGAGAUUUUAAUGGCGGGAAGACAAAGUAAAAGCAAUGGCUCUCAUUCCUUGCGAGUUGUGACUCCGUAGUUGCGUCCCUUUCUUGAAAAAGUUAUGACCCAUAUGCCUUCAUUUUAUUUUUGGAUCUAGAUUUGAUGGCUAAUAAUAUUAAUCCAAUAUCUUUACCUCCAACAAUAUUGUUACAUAUGUCGUUAUGGCCACAUGAAGUUAUAAGAAUAUUUCAUCUUUACUAGUCAGAAUUUGAGUACUUUCUGUAUCUCACAUUAGUAUAUUUCUCGUUACGUGAGAAUUCAUAAUUGAAGCCAUUGACUAAUUCAUUAGUAUUAGACUCUGAGUACAUUUCUUUUAAAGACAAAUCUAUAAUAAGGUACAAAUCAAUGGAUAGUUUGCUGAAAUACUCUUAUUAACUUAAUGUUUCUUCGUCCCAAAGUUAUAUUUGAAUGGUGUUGGAUGAAUUGUUAAUCCACAAAUUUGGUAACUAAAUUUGACAAAAAAAAAUUAAAAUUAAAAUUAGUAUCUAAGUUACUCUAAUUGAUUUUAAUUUAUUAUAUAAGGUAUCUAGCCAUAAAUUGGUGGUAAAUUGGUUUAUCCCUCCUUGCAAUUUUGAUAUCACAUGAGACGACAUCAUACUUUUGAUUUUCAUGUUAAAAGGUAAGUCGAAUCAGUUUCAAUAUCCCCCAAGAAAUGCAUAUGUAAGUUUUCAAACUUGAAUGGAGAAUUCUAAACUUUUGCUCGUUUUUCACUAGACCACUGUGGAUGCAAAUUUCUUUCUCCUUGAUCUUGGACAAAAUUUCACCUACAAAACAAUUAACACAUUUGGUUAAGGUCAAAAGCCUUACGCACCCACGAUGAAUGGGGGGGGGAAGUUUUGGCCGAAGAACCUCUGAUACCAAAGUUAGAAUUUAGAGAGAAAAUAUUUGAGAAUUUUAGAGAAUUUUAGCAAGAGACUUGGAAGUAGUUUUUGGAGAGAAUAGAGAGCUAUUUAUAUGGAUAUGGCCGGCCCUAUUAGGAGACACAUUUGGUCAAGGCCAAAAGCCUCACGCACCCACGAUGAAUGGGGGGGGGGAAGUUUUGGCCGAAGAACCUCCGAUACCAAAGUUAGAAUUUAGAGAGAAAAUAUUUGAGAAUUUUAGAGAAUUUUAGCAAGAGACUUGGAAGUAGUUUUUGGAGAGAAUAGAGAGCUAUUUAUAUGGAUAUGGACAGCCCUAUUAGGAGAAUAGGGACCGGCUAUUUGGGGUAUUUUUUGGGUGUAAUUUGUAAUUAAUUAGCCAUUAAUAUAUUAAUUAGAUAAUAAAUCCAUUAAUUGACUAAUUAACAUAAUUUAAAAGAAAUAACUUGGGAGUUAUGGAAUAAUUAUCUAAUCAAUUAGCUAAUUAAUAAAAUAAUUACCUAAUUGAUUAGCUAAAAAAAGGAAAAUGGGGUAGAGAAUAUACGGGAUGAAAUAAGUUUUGGGAGUUACCUUGUAUAAGGGAUUUGAUGAAUGAAAUAGGUUUUGAAUUGUUACCUAUUUUGGACAAUUUUGACUUGGUUGAGGAAUGAUUGCCCUCUGCUUGCGUGUAGGAAUCUCGAUAUGCCUCAGGGGUAUUUUUAUCCUCUUUUAUCCAAAAAUCCAUGUAUCGCUUUGUAAUUAUUUUUGGCUUCACAACCACCAUUUUUUUUAAAUGAAUCUGUUGGUGGCUUCGUCGCUGUAGUUUACCCUUUCAAAAACCUGAAAGACUCACAUAGAUAUUUCAACCUCCCCAAUCUAUGAUUGUGCCAUUCACAAGACAACCAUCUUGGAGUUUCCAAUUUACUUUGAUAUUGUUGAACCUCCUAUAGCAUAGGCAGACAUUAAAAUUAACUUUUGUUGAUCUUGGACCUUGUCAACCAGGUUCACUAGGGCCGUAUGUACCCAUGUCCACAAUCUAUCGCCCUCCACUAAAAAGCAUUUGGUUUUGCUCGUUGCUUGGAAUGGACCUCACCUCAUUUUUUGUCCAUAUUUUUAUAAUUUUGGACUGAUUUUAAUAUCCAUUUCCCGCAGUUAUAUUCCAUGUCCAUGUGCUUUGGUUUGUCAGGACUUUCUCUAUCGGCGGUUUGUGCUUCCUUACAUUCAGAUUUGGCUUUUUUAGGUUUUAAUUUUCAAAUCAACGUGCAUCUUGGUUUAUAGAUUUGUCACCUUUCAUGAUGUAUGUUUUUUCUUUUUUCCUAACCUAUUGUUGUUGGUGUUUUGCAACUUGUUUUGCAGGUUUAAACCUUUUAAAUUUUCUUUGGAGGAGUUUAGGCUUUACGCCCCUCCCCUCUUUCUUGUAUUUUUAUUUGUUUUCUAGAUCAAAGUACUGCUUAUUCUUUCGCCUUGUAUUAUAAGAGGUAAGAUUUAUGUCCUUACUAAUUAGGUGUAAGAUUUUGUCCCCUCAUAACUAGUGCAAUUUCUUUUUUCUAAUUCAAUAAAAUGUUCUUCGUACUUUUCUUAAAAGAAAAUGAUUUGUUAUUUUUCUUUAAAAAAAAACAGAAAAUACCAACAGUAACCCCUUAACAUUAAAAAUCUAAUUUGAGGUGCAAAAUAAAGCCCAAUGCUCAGUGGUCUUACUAAUUUGAGACAAGAGCCCUAAUGGGUUAUCUUGUAAGGCCUAUAGUGAGAAAAUCUUGGGGAAAAGCCCAAAUCAGUCAUUUAGACCGUCACCAUGUUUCUUUUCCGUAACUAUGCCACAAUUUUACCGUCUCAACUUUUGGACUACUUUUGAAUAAUGAUACGAUAUUUUAAAGUACCGAGAUUUAUAAAUAAAAUUUUAACUUGGUGUAAGAGAGGGAAUAAACACAUUGUUCUAGCUAAUUGAUUUAAUCCAUAUAUGCUUCUCUAGCAGACUUUUACGAGUAGCAAAAAUAUUUGCGAAGUCAUUGAUUUGGUUGUUUACAGAGAUCAUUUUCUAGCCCCAACCUCUCUCAAAAACAUACUCCAAAUGCCAUUUGGUUAAUCGAACUUUAAAUGCGACAAAUUCAUAUUAAAUAACCUUACAAGUCUGAUCACGUGACGCUCAUAUUAAAGAUUCAAGAAUUGAGGUCUAAGAAACUGUCACAAACCCCAUGCUAAUCAAAAUCCAAUUAGCAGUUCAUCCAUUAGUAUACAAUUUUUAUGUUUCCCAUUGAAUUUUAGUUCCAAAUUAUAUUAUCCAUCACACGUAUUUGUGAUUUUAGGUCAACUCUUAUCCAACACAUAAAACCACCUGGAAUCCACACACCUGUAUGGCUUGAGCAGGUAAAUUCCACAUGAUUCUGUCCACUUUCAAUUGACUUUUUUUGGCAUUUGGUUUUUUGUCCUGGAAUCAUGGAUGUAUUAAAAAAAAAAAAAAACUAAUGAAAAAAGUUUGAAAAUUUUGAGUUAUAACGAUAAUGAUAAAAUAAAAGGUGAUUGAUUUUUUGGUGUAAAAAUAUAAUUUUUCCUUAAAGUGAACAAUAUCAUGAGCUUUUCUUUCAAGUUCCCUUAAAAAAAAAAAAAAAAAACUUUAACGAAAAGUUUUCGUUAUUGUUCACUUUAACGAAAAGCCACAUUUUUACACUAAAAAAUCAAUUCUAUACUAUUCACUUUACCCUUUAUUUUGUCCUUAUCGUUAAAACUCAAAGUUUUCAAGCAUUUUUCAUUAGUUUUCCUUAAAAAAAAAAAAGUAGUUCUAUUCACAAAUCCAUUUUUAUUUGUCACAUUUAUUUUAAUUUUUAGUCAUUGAAUCGAAUGAAUUGAAGAAGAUCAAUGACUAAAAAUAGCAUAGGUGUGUUAAUAACAUUAUCCACAGUAUAUUGUUAAUAAAGUGAUGAGAAAUUCACUAUAUUACAAUUAAGUUCGAAUCUCGUAAACGACGAGUUCAAUACCAAUUUAUUUCUAUCACAAUUUAUUUCUAUCACAUCUUAAUGUAAUGUAUCGUUCUAUUAAUAAAAAUAAACAAGUGAUGAAAAAAAACAUUAAACAUAGCGGAACAUAAACAAAUAGAGGCAAUAAAAUACACAAGAGACGGUGAGGGGAAGAAUAAUUUAAUUUUUUUAUCGACAUCGUUGCUUACUGCUUCCUUAAGAGUUUCGUAACUCAAAUAGUUAAGGAUAAGAUUCAUGAAUUCGAGACCUUAUGUUUGUAUAAAAAAAUAUUUAUCUGUAUAUCUGAAGUUUCUUUAGUUUCUAUUCUCCUCCCUCGUUAUCACUUGCACCAGAAGACAAUUGUUUUCAUAACUUGACAUCUAAUAAACCAAAAGUUAAUAGUGACAGCACUCUAACUUAUCAAUUGUAAUAUUCUUUAAUUAUAGAAAAAAUCUGGCAUGCAAUUGGGAUAUUUAGAACGAUAUUUUAUAAUUAAGAAUUUGUCAUGUUAAUGGGUUCAAAUUAUAAUUAUGAUUAUUUUCCAAAAAAUCAAUGAUACGAUUACGAGCCUAUCACACCAAAGAAAAUACCAAGUGGGCCUAAAGCACUAAUUUGCAUGAUAAUUGGAUAUAUAGUUUAAGACAUUAGCCAUUUAAGAUAUAGUAAUUUACAAUAUGGGGCCUAAGAUUUAAUAAUUAUAUUUACUCUCACUCAUAAAAAUUUGAAAAUGACACAUAUUUACAUAGAAUUUAAACUUGGGAAUUGGAGGUCCCAAGUUCCAAUUUUUUUUUUUUUCAUGCGGAAAUUCUAAAUUUCUAUGUUCAUGAAUCUAAACAAGAGAUUUGGUGCAUGUCAAUUUAUAAAUUCUAACUGUUGUCAAAAUUUCAAGUUUAUUUUUUUCAUCCAAACAUAAUUAAAAAUUUCCAGGAAAAAUUCUAAUUUUUUGUUGAACUAGCAAGUGAAUAGUGUUAAUCGAGACCGUCCUUUUCAAUGCAAAAUUUAUAUCUUCCUUUUCUCCUUGCUCGAAGAUCCACCCUUGAAUUUUAUUUUUUAAUUCUAUAUUUAACAAGUAAAUAGUUACACUUUAAAUUUAGAGAGCGAUGGUUUAUAUGAAGAUUUUUUUUACAACAUUUGACACACCCCGACCGAGAUCAAGGCAUGCUGACCGUCACGUGAGAGUGACGUAACCAUGUGCACAAUACGGAAGCAAUAAUGAUAGGAAAUAUACGAAUAAUUAAAAACCAAAUUACUAAAGUGCAUUACUAAACAAGAAGUGAUAAGAGUUAGUUACAAAAGUAAGCACUCCUAAUCAGAGCAUAAUAAGUCUAUGUGUAGUCCAGUAUGACAAGUACUAGUUAUACAGUACCAUGAAUGUCCUACUAUUAUUUAGAUAGGUCAAAACUGCUGACGUCCUCAAGCCACCCACAUCAAGCUUACUUAAAACCAGGAGAGGCGCAAAACAGAAAACGUGAGUGGGCAAAAACAAAUGUUUUACAAAGUCAUUUCAUUUAUCAACAUAUCUAACUCCUCGCUGUAAAACAUGUAUAAUUUUUCCCAGAAUCAAGAUAUAAGCAUAUACAUAAAUAUAUAUAUAUAUAUAUAUAUAUAUAUAUAUAUAUAUAUAUAUAUAUAUAUAGAGCUUAAGGGGAGGGAUCCCCAUUUUUUGAAAAAAAUGGGGAUUAGGUGUGGGGCCCACUUCACAUCUAAUUUCAACGAUCCGAACCGUCUAUUUUGUUAGUCUCGAUUCAUAGAUCAUCCUUGCAAAAUAUUAGCUAAAUUGGAAAUGUUUAAGACAUCUAAUUGGGUUCAAGGAAAUGAACGAAUACUUUGUUAUAUAAGAAAAUAUGAAAUUUGAUAUUGAUAAUUAAAUAGGCAAAUGGUUUCGGAUUGAAUUGAAUUUUUGCAAUGAUGAUCUAUGAAUCGAGACUAACAAAAUAAACGGUUCGGAUCGUUGAAAUUAGAUGUGAAGCGGGCCCCACACCUAAUCCCCAUUUUUUUCAAAAAAUGGGGAUCCCUCCCCUUAAGCUCUCUGUAUAUAUAUAUAAUCAUAUCACUUCAAAUCAUGCUUCACUUAAUCAUAAUCAUAUGUAUGUAUAUAUAUAUAUAUAUAUAUAUAUAUAUAUAUAUAUAUAAUCAUAUCACUUCAAAUCAUGCUUCACUUAAUCAUAAUCAUAUGUAUGUCAUGCCAAGAUAUAACAGAGUAAGCAAUUCAGGUAAGAAUAAUUUCAUAGAAAUAUCACAUGUUAGCCGGAACCCCUGUAGUAGUCUGUACGGCUGAAUUCAUAACUCAAAAGUUACUCUAGCCGGAGUCACUACAAUGACCUAUACGGUAAUAUACUGCACAAGAGUCGGAACCAAACAAAAAGGUUUAUACGACAAUAAUGGGUGUAAUAUAAUCAUGCUCAAUACUAUUCUCACAUAAUAGCUGGGCGAUAAAUCGCUAGUCACUUACGAGUCGGAACCAUAAUAAAGGUCUGUAUGACAAGACUGUGCACCUAAAUUGGAUCUAAUAUGAGCAUAUGGUGCAGGAGGUGACAUAAUAAAUAGGCAUGUGCCAUAUUUAUGACUAAAUCACAAUCACCCUAAGUCCAGUUUUAUGAGCUCAACAUUAUUCAAUCACAUAUCGCAUCAUUGAUGAUUCACAUAACUAACACAAGUUACCUGAGCUUACCUGAGUGUUCACAUCACCACAAUUAUAUAUAUAAAGCAUCACAUACCAAUUCAUGUAUGAAUUAUAAACUUAUAUGCAUGGCAUUUAUGGCAUACUAUCAUUUAAACACCUAUUUCUGGGAAAAUAUCAAGUAUAUAAUAUAUACUGAAAACUAAAAGCCCACUCAUUGGUAAGUCAAAGGGUCGUAGCCCCUGAGUCGCCCUUGGAUACGCUCGUCCUCGGGAUAAGUCUCAACUAUAUGCGAAUUAACUAUAAAAACGUUAUUUUAAAGCACAUAGACAAAACUAGCUAAUAACUUCUCAUAUAUACCUCAAAUUGGGUAUAUGAAUAUACCACAGUGACCUACACAACCUCAGGAUCAUCCCUAAAUUUUUAGAUUAAUUUUUCAAUGCCCCACGCGCCGGCGAGUGCACGGCAAAACGCGCCGGCCACGCGCGGUCACAUGUAACCGAACAGCAACGGCGUUAGGAAUAUUCCGUUAAAACCCAACGGUAACCAUCCAAACUAACUGAUGGCGUUAGCAUAUUCCAUCAAAAUUGACGGAAUAUUCUUUUUUUUUUCUUCGAUGAGUCGCCGGUCGCCGGCGACUUCGUCGAUUUUUGGGUAAAACUUCUAACCGUCUAUUCUCACUCAUUUUUCAACCAUUUUCUUCGAAAUUUAAACCAAAUGAAAGCUUAGAGUGAGAAAAAUGGCGUUAUACCUAUUUGAAGCAUCAAAUAUCACGAAAUCAUGUUGGGGAAGCUUCGAAAUUCCGACCAAACCUGCAACUCGUCGUUUCUUGCAAUCCCAAUGUCCAAAUUCUUCAAACGAACUACCCCGAGCCUCCUUGGGACCUCCUAAAGCUUCCUACAAGCUUAAAAUCCCCUAAUAAUUGAAGAAUAAAAGUUGCAUGAACAAUGCAUGGAAAUCAGACAUUGUGGUUCUACGUGAAAUCGAAGGUAAUCUUACCUAUAUUUGGUACCUUUGAACUCGCGAGGACCUUAAGAACACAAUGGUACCAUUUUGUUUGAGAGGUCCUUGAUGUUUGUCCGUACAAGAAGAAAGAGAGAGAGUGUGUGUGUGAAAGGGCACGGGAGAGAACAGAGAGAAAAAGGUAUGUGUGUGUGGUCCUUACAAAGUCAACCAAACCACUUAUACACUAACCUUUAAUCCAAGUUCCAAAUUUCCAAAUUUAAACUAAGGUUAGUUCUUACUAUAACCCUAGCAUUCAAAUUGGAACCAAAACACACAACACCGCGAAACGUUCAAGGGUAAAAUUGUCAUAUCAUAUCAUCGAAAAUUAAAUAUUCGGGACGGGUUGUGACAAUAUUUCAUAGAAAUCAUUUUUCUAAGAAUAAAUUAUAGUAUAGUUGUUAAACUAGCUAGUUCUCACGAACAAAAAACAGUCACAUGCUGGUCCCUUUAGUUUUGCCCUUAUUGAUUGUCGCAUUUGAAGACAUGUUUUUCACACGUUUCUAGCGUCAACAUUUUCAACGAAUUCAUUUAUUGAUCAGCAGAACUUUAUUUGUGUUUAUAUUUGGAUUUUGGAGCAAUUUCGGAUAUCCCGACAAAUCCACCACAUCUUCAAAUUUCCGGAAAGAAAAGCAACCAAAUUUAAUUUUACUUGGUAUGGACUGCUGAAUUUCAGCUCCCCGUCAACACGCAAAUUUCAAACCUUUUCCAUGUAGACGAUGGCUAUGGUUGCACCUUCGUCAAUUACUAUCUAAUCUUGAUCUGGGUUUUCGCUUAAAUUCCUCAAAGAUCUGAUUUUUGGGUUUUCUUCGAUUCAGCGUUUCGUCGUUACCCUUUUGUUUUUCGAUUGAAAUCCGCCACAAAUAUCCCAGAAUCCUGAUCGGAAAAUGGGUUGCUGUAGCAGCAAAAAGAAUGCUCCGAAACCCGGUUCAAAUGGGUUUGGGUCAUCCCAGCCUUAUCAGCAGCAGCAAGCGGCGGCUCAGCCUCUGAAAGUCUCAUCCCAACAACCCCACUACCCACCACCACCACCACCCAGACCACAGCCCCAGCAGAGGGCACAGGCUGCACAGCCGCCGCCCCAACCAAGAGCACAGCCCCAGCAGCCAAACCCUUCUCCAGUAAAACCAGCGCCGCCGCCGAAUAGCAUUCUCGGGAAGCCCUUUGACGACAUUAAGCAGUACUACACACUCGGAAAAGAACUGGGCAGAGGCCAAUUCGGCAUCACAUACUUGUGCACUGAGAACUCCACCGGCCACAGUUACGCCUGCAAGUCGAUCCUGAAGCGAAAACUCGUGAGCAAAAACGACAGGGAAGACAUCAAGAGAGAGAUUCAGAUUAUGCAGCAUUUGUCUGGGCAGCCAAACAUUGUGGAGAUCAAGGGAGCUUAUGAGGACAAGUACUCUGUGCAUUUGGUCAUGGAGCUCUGCGCCGGUGGGGAGCUUUUCGAUCGGAUCAUAGCGCAGGGACAGUAUUCGGAGAGGGCUGCCGCUGCAAUUCUGCGUGACAUUGUGAAUGUUGUGCACAUUUGUCACUUCAUGGGCGUGCUGCACCGCGAUCUCAAGCCAGAGAAUUUCUUGCUGUCUAGCAAGGAUGCGAAGGCAAUGCUGAAGGCAACGGAUUUCGGGUUGUCUGUUUUCAUUGAGGAAGGUGAGUGCAUUGAUUUUUAUGAUCUAUGUUCAUAUUUCCUGUUACAAGUUGUAGAAUUUUGAGCUUGAGCGUUCUGAGUUUGAUUUUGUAAUUCCCUAUUUUUUGAUAUAUGCCAAAUGUGUUCUAAAAAUACCAGUAAUAGUUUACUACAAAUUGUUAUUCAUCUAGUUUAGUUGCAGAUGUUAUAAUGGCAAGAAGUUACAUUGCGAACGGAAGGUUGUGUAGUUUACUGGGAACCGAUAAUAUGAUUGUUUAUACAUUGUAGUGAAGGUUUAAGUAGUAAGAGUGGUCAGCCUGCGCCAUUUCCUACCUUAUGCGGUGUAGCUAAUCGAAUUAUGAUGUUUAUAAACUACUUUAUUCCUUUGUAAAGCUUUCCGAAAAAAUUCAUUUUUUCAUUUUAUUGCUUCAGUUAAGUAUAUAUAAUCUGAAGUUUUAAUCUAGUGGAUACAUUCUAAUGUGUAGCUAUACCUGCUUUGUCCUAAUCUCAGGAAAGGUGUACCGUGAUAUAGUCGGCAGUGCUUACUAUGUUGCUCCUGAAGUCUUGCGGCGUAGUUAUGGAAAGGAAAUAGAUAUUUGGAGUGCAGGGGUUAUUCUGUAUAUCCUACUCAGUGGUGUACCUCCAUUUUGGGCUGGUAAAUAUGAAUUCAGUGUAUUCUUGCUAAACAUUCACUGUUCUCUUAGGUUGUAGUUAUCUUAUCAUUAUAUCUCGCUCUUUAUAUUGCAGAAACUGAGAGGGGCAUAUUCAAUGCCAUAUUGGAAGGAGUAAUAGACUUUGAUAGUCAACCAUGGCCAUCAAUAUCAGACAGUGCUAAAGAUUUGGUUAGAAAGAUGCUGACACAGGACCCAAGAAAGAGAAUUACUUCUGCAGAAGUUCUUGGUAUGUUACCUCUCAAAUACUAUUUUGGAUGGAUUGAAAGUUACAAUGAAGCAACACAUGCUGUAUAAGAUAUAAUUUCCGUCGAUAAUUUCUGUUUGUAUGAUUUAUAGACCAUUCUCCUCAAAUGUGUUAUAAUCUCUUUUGAAACGACAUCUUUUUCAUUUGCCUAUGAAAUGACAUGAUAGAAAUUAGGCCUUGUGCUGGCGGUCAAGGGAUAAUCCUAUGUUUAGUUUUUUAGUAAUCUGUUGCUUCCAAAUCAACGAGCCAAAUUUAGCAGUUAAAUAGAAGCUGAAAGGAUAAAUAUACAGCAUUACAAUAACCAACUUUUAGCCACACGGCCCUUGUUACCACCAGCUCUUGUUUUAUGAGUGUGCUUUUGACUGAUAUUUAAUAUUCUGUAUGCUCAGAGCACCCGUGGCUCAGAGUAGGCGGAGUAGCAUCAGACAAGCCAAUAGAUAGUGCAGUUCUCUCUAGAAUGAAGCAAUUCAGGGCAAUGAAUAAGCUCAAGCAACUUGCUUUGAAGGUAAUUUCAGGACUUUGUUCCGAAGCUCCUAUAUUUACCUAAUAUUGGCAAAGUUUCCAGAGAAUUUCUUCUUACCAUAUUUGUCUUUUUCCCCUAAUAAUUUUUGUACAUUUUGAAAAUUUCCCCAGGUCAUAGCAGAGAAUCUAUCGGAAGAAGAAAUUAAAGGCCUUAAAACAAUGUUCACCAAUAUGGACACUGACAACAGUGGUACAAUAACUUACGAAGAACUGAAGACAGGUUUAGCGCGUAUUGGGUCGCGGCUGUCUGAAACCGAAGUUAGGCAACUCAUGGACGCUGUAAGUAACUAUCAAUUCCCCCGGAACUCAAUUAUGUUGCUUCUGGCUAUUUUUUGAUUUCCGUGUAACACAUUUCAGGCUGAUGUGGAUGGAAAUGGAUCGAUUGAUUACAUAGAAUUUAUAUCUGCGACUAUGCAUAGACAAAGAUUAGAAAGAGAUGAGCAUCUCUACAAAGCGUUCCAGUAUUUUGACAAGGAUAGCAGUGGGUGAGUUGACAAAUUUUGUGCAAUGCUUCUGUAUACAUAUGUCGUACUGGAUUUCUGUUUUUGAUCAAGUGAAAUUCAACUACUUGAUCCUACUGGGGGGAAAUAAAUAACUUUGGAUAAAUUUCUUGUUAUGAUCGUGCUAGAUGUGUGCUCAAACAACUUUCUGCUUAUUGAUUCAUAAAUUUAGUCUCAACUUGUGAACUUUUGCAAGCUGAAAUUGAUUCACCCUGUUUGUCAGGCAUAAGUAGUUACGAAUAUAUAUAUUAGCUUGUAAUAUCAUAAUUUACUAGGAAAGAAACUGUUUAUUUCUUUUUAUCAUUCAGUCAUAAAACGAAUGUUAAUGUAGUUCCUUCGUCAAUUUCCACUAACAGGUAUAUUACAAGAGACGAAUUAGAGGCUGCUAUGAAGGAGUAUGGAAUGGGUGAUGAUAACACCAUCAGAGAAAUAAUUUCUGAGGUUGAUGCUGAUAAUGUAAGUUUACUUACGACUUUCAAAUAUCUGUAACUUUUUCUCAGUCGUGUUCUGCACUGAUUUACUUUGAACCAAAUAGGACGGGAAGAUCAACUAUUCAGAAUUCUGUGCAAUGAUGAGAAGUGGGACUCAACAACCAGCAAAGCUCUUUUAAUUCCACUAACAGGCAUUUCAGAACUUACAAGCACAAGUGAAUCGUUAUGGAUUUGAGCUGCUUAAGUGAGUUUAACUGUUGGGUAGUAUGACUCGUGUGCUCGUAUCAGAGCAUUAUUUCCGGGAGGUAUGAAGUAAACCAGACUAAUCUUGAUCGAAAACGGGCAGUUUGAGCAUGUGAAGCUAGAGUUUGGUGUUUGAUUAAUUAGGCUGUGUUUCUGUGCAUCUAUUUACUUGUUAGCUUAUUUUUUUGAAGUUCUGUUCAAUCUUGUUAUGAACCUUUUCCUGAAUAUACGACGAUUUUAAUUAAUUUAAAAAGAUUUCGUUGUGAUAUAAAUGCUGAACAAAAGUACUGCCGAUGAUAGGAGUUUUGCUCUGUAUGCUAUAUUGAUAUCAAUAUUGCAUCCAACUCAACUCAACCUCUCUUUUCAUGCUAUGUUCUUUCACUGUGAUUUCUUCCACGAGGAGUUGUGUUACGGCCAGUCACCCACACGCCUUGAAUUGACCACACACUAGAAUGGUAAAAUCUCUCUAGCUUCAGUUAAGUGCUCAAUCAGUUUGGCGACGGAGAUCGAAUAUGAUUGAAGUUGAUUCCAUGCAAUUUUAUUAAAGUCUCAUUCUUUGAGACGAGACUUAAAACCCAACAUGUUAGACCAAUGUCCAAUUUAACAAGUUUAGUCCCAACAUUUAUAAGUUCACGGUAUGAUGGCUAUGAUAGUACCAAAUAUCUCAAUUCUUAAACUUCAAUUAAUCCUUUUAUUUUUGUGCACACUUUACCAGAAAAAAAAAACACAAAGUACAUAUACGAAGGAGAAGGAGUCCUUUGGAAGGACACCCACUUGACAGACACCCUUCAAUCCCAGGAAUCCCAGGAUUUUUUAUUAGAAUGUACUAUUUACUUGAAAAUUAAAAGGGCAGUAAUCAAGAGAGGUAAGUACUCAUUAUUGUAGGACUUUCCCUUCCCCACUCCAGCACUGCAGCACAGUUUCCAUACAAACCCUGAAGAAACAUUUCUUUAUUUAUAGCUACCAUUUUGGGCGCCCACAGGUUUCUAUCACAUACACCUCGUAUUUGUAGGGCAUAUCUCAUAAAAACAUAUAAUUCUUCCAAACUUAGGAUCUCUGAUACAGUGAUAAAUGCUAUUACUCAUUUGAAUUACUUACUCUUUUGCUCCUUCAGCACCAAGACGACAUUGUCAUGAGAUUAUCGGUAACACUAAAUUUUUUUAUACAAGUGAUAUUAUGAGAGCCAAACUAAAUGCAGGACUUCGAAUGCUGUGAUAAACUCUUUUAAAUUUUAAUCAACUGAGUUACAAACUCCUUGUUGCAUGAACACUAAAUUAGGAAAGAGCAAAUGAAGGUGCCCAAAUCGAAUGACAGGAUUUUUGUUUAAAAUUAGAAGGAUGGUAUCCAAGGUUUUUAGCCUUCAUAUUCCCUGACACAAAUCGCAUUUUCAAGGGGCUAAGCAUUCCCACGUGAGGUUGCAAGAUUCUAUGAUGCUGCCCACUUACGAUAUAUAUUAUGUGCACGUGUGCAGUACAACCCCAUCUUUUUUAUACAUCCACUUGGGACUCCCUAAGUCAAGACAUACCUCAAAUCAGCACUCCCUUGAUUGCUAAUUUUCAUUAACUACAAAAUUAUAGAAAUGAUUAACUUAAACACGAAGAUAAACCUGCCCCGGUUUGGAUUAGGAUUAAUUAGUACUCCACGCUAACAUGAAAUGACACAAGAACACAACACGAUACAACUCGAUUUCCAUCCUUAUGUGCGCUUGUAGAAUUUGUUCGGAUUUAGGUUAAGAGUGUAAUUAACAUAGUCUACAAACUAUGUAUUAUUUUUUAUAUGGUAAUAUAAUAUAGGAAAAGAGCAUAGGAUGCUCUCUAAUCUAGCAUUGCUGAAAAAUUAAUUAAUUAAUUCACAACUGUUUUAUAUGUUAGUACAAUUUUGUUUAUUAAUUAAUAUUAAUUCACAACUGUGAAUUGUCACCAAAUUGUGAGAUUCAAAGCUCCUUUUUUAUUUUAUAAAUAAAUAAACAAAAGGUGAGGCCUUGUUGGAUUCUUAUUAAUGAAAUUUUAUGGAUUGUAAUCAAACAAUUUUCAAAAAUGUAAACUUUCACAUAAGAAAAUAAACUGUUUUUUUUUUUUGUUUAAGAAAGGGGCUAAUGGUAUGAUAUAAGAGAAAUUACAAAAUAAUGUUGCGAGGUCGAUAGACUUCAAAAAUAUCAUACAAUAAUAACUGCUUACAAGAAGAUGAAGUUUGCUCAAAAUAGAUUGGACACAAAGCGUGAGAGAAGCUCAGUAACUCAUCAGCAACACAAUUUAUCUCAAGAUAAAUAUGCCGAAUAUUAUAUUCCCAAUCAUGCAAUAACAUCACACGAUAAUCAUUUUGGCAAAGAAAAAUGAUCUCCACACUGCUCUUUUCUUUUGUAUAUGUGCUUGUUUAUGUUAUUUGGGUUUUCUUUGAUUUAUUCGGUCUAAACCCUACAUAAAGAAGAAAAUGGAUGUGCGAGAAUCGCUUUAAUACUGAAGUCCAACGAGAGGGAGAGAGAGAGAGAUGUGCACGUGCAGUUGCAUGUCUGCCCCCUCGCCAGUCGCCGCUCUACUUUUCCAAUUUAGAAAACUGAAACAAAAACCAAGCACAAAAAUAGCCCUAAUCUUGCUUAAAUAUGUUAAACUUAAAUAUGUUAAACUUUAUCUCAAGAUUUUCUUCCGGCAGGACGCAUUUUCUCUGAGAAUUCUUUAGAUGGUAUUUUCCAUUUAAUAUGAUAUUCUUACUGGUGUUCAAAGAUUAUUACAUAUUUCAUCAUAUUGGUGUUCGUCCUAAUCAAUGAUGGAGCUUCACUCUUGUGCCCCUCUGGUCAAUUCUUCUGCACUGUGCGUUAUAGAGGAAGGGAUGAGAGGAGAGAGUGUCAAUGUCGUUGUUGCUGAGGUUUCGGCCGAACUCGAGAGGGAGCGAAAGAAGAAUGCAGAGCUCAUGGAGAGGAUACUAUUUCUUGAAGCUCAAUUAAAAGAACGAGAGGCUAAGCAGCCUCCUCAUCCAGCAGAUGGACAAGUAAGACCUUGACUUUUUUGGUAGCUUCUUUGCUUUUCAACGAAUAGCGUUGUAGCGAUGUUUGAGACCGCUCUGAAAACGGCUAAAAGCACUUUUUUUUACAACUAAAAGCACUUACGGUUUUGAAUGAUCAUGUUUAUGCCAACCUCUUAACAUUUGACUUCAGGGAAGUUCUUUGAAUGCAAUGAUAAGAAGCUUCAAGAAGUUCAAGCGACAGAAGACAGAACUAGAUAACAAUGGAAUCGAAGAUGGAAAUGUUAUCCCAACCGAAAUGGAUUCGAAGAAGAAGCAUCGCACGCAAUGCUUGGCUCUUAAAGAUCAAAUUCUGGAAGACCGUCUAGUCAACUGGAUGAGCAUGGAGGAAACUCAGUUUUUGCAUCUAGAAAAAGGAGAUGGCGGCGAUUCAGCUGACUGCGAUGACUCUGAUGAUAGCGAUGACGAAGAUGAUGAUUACCGUGAAGAGAAUUGUGUUAAUAAUGACUGUAAAGAAGGGGAAGUAGCUGAUAAUGUUUCGAGAAUUUGUAGUGAGCUGAAAUGUGAAGUUGUUGAUAAGGGAUUGGACGCGCAAUGUGAGAACGUUUUCACAGGUGGGAACGAGCCAGUGAUUUCAAAUGCAAACCAAGAAACGAAUGAACCACCUGAUACAGGACCAGUUUGUGAUGAGAUGCAACUUCGAACCCAAAACAAGAAAAAACCUAGUGAUUUUGGAAGUUACAAGGUGCCAUCUGAUACCCUUAAUUUCAAGGAGUUUAUUCGUGCAGGAUCUGCAAGCACAUCGCAACAGAAAAAACCUCCGAAGGUGGCAUUCUGCCCGAAAGAAGUGAAGAGAAUAAUUGAUUCAGAAGCCCUGCUGCAGAAAAAUGCUCAAUCCCACACAAUAAGAAAGAUCAUAGUUUUUGCAUCAAUUGGAAUAAGGCAUGGUUGCGAAGAUAUCUACGAAUUAGACAUCAAUCAUUUUAGCAUUUUAAGGAAGGGAGAGCCAUACAUGUCUACGAAAGAUCCCGGGGUAAGGAAGUUAGUAUUAGGAUAAGUUUUGCAUUUAAAUAAGUUUUCGAUCUUAAUCUUUCUUUGUUCAUCAGCAAAAAAGCAAUUUAAUUUUUGUUCCUUACCAGGAGCAUGUUCUGUAUGAGAAUCCUGGUGUUCGGAGGAAGGUAUUUUACCCGAAUCAACAGAAUCCGACAUUAUGUCCUGUUAAAAUACUCGAAGAAGAGAAGGCUAUGCGACCAUCGGAUUCUAGCUGCCCAUCAUGGCUAUUUCUCUGCAUAAAGUAUGGCGGAAGAACACGAAAUCUUCCCCAAAAUGAGUAAGUAUUAUUGGAGAAAUUAACUUUUAAUUUACCGAGGUUUGCAGCUUAAUUUAAAAUUCUAUCUGCAUAAAUGUGUUUCAGAUAUGUUAGGCAGCGUAUGGGAAGAAACAAGCUGAAGUCUUUCGGGCCACUAAUGUGUCGAAUGGCAAUGCUAGUUCAUGUUCGCAGUGGGAGCUUCUUCUUCAAGGCCUUGGGCAUCACUCUUCUUUUCAUGGCUGGUUUUCCUGAUGAUCUUGUUCAACAAGAAACUAAAUACCAGAGCUUAGACUUGCUUCAGAAAUAUUAUAGGUAUUUCAAUCUAAUAUACUAGUAGGAAAUGAAUAUUUCUGAAAAAAAGCUAUUCGGAUAGUUUUGUACCUCAAUGUAAUCUCUAAUAUAAUUGAAGCACGACAUGUUUUUCCUUGUAGGACGGAUGAGGAUGCUGAAGGGGAGGAGUUAUUUCUUCCACAUCCUAUGACUAGUGACACUGUAAGAUCAACUUCCCAGUUCAUAAAUCUGAGCACAUCCUAGUUUCGAUUUAACUUCCCAGUUCAUAUAUCUGAGCACUUCCUAGUUUCGAUUUAACAUUGACAAAUAAAUUCGAGUUUCUGAAGACUGAUCUUGUUUUCUCUCAGCAGGCCAGUCCAAGUUCUCAGCAGUUCGGUGGAAAAUCUUGUUCAACAAAAACAAAGGAGAAAAAACCACCUCACUCGAAUAGCAAGCCUCGCAAUAUACAGAUAUCUCCAUUCCCACGGACUACACUUCUGAGCUCUGCGCCUUCUACACAAUUUGGACUGGUAGGCCAUCAGACUUCUAUUCUUCACACUCAAGCAAUGGCAACAUUAUCGUCUCAUACGCCAUUAGAUGCUCAACCAAUCUCAAACGCUGUAAUUGCGAAUGCUGGUACGAAUAUCUCAUACUCUAGUCAAACACCGUAUCACAUUUUUCCCCCACAACCAGCUAACACCUUUGUGCCUAUGGUAUAUUGGCCUCCCCCAAACACAUUUUCUCCCGGACCCUAUCAAUCUACAUAUGGCUACCAGUCUUUCCCUUCUACCGGAAACUACUUCAUUCAUCCACAGCCCUAUUACAACAAUCCAUCUUGCAGUCCCUUGAACCCCAAAAUGGUGGAAGCAGCAGGAAAAAAUGGUGCAGCCUCGGAGGAAGCUGAUAGUGGCUACAAUUGCAGUUCAAGCAGUAUUGAACCAAAGAAGAAUUAGAAUAUCUGUCUUCCUUGUAAUUAUCAUAACUUCCUUAUUCUUAAUAAAGGCUUUGUUCAAUUCCGCUAUCUUGUACUCAAUGUAAGAAAAUGAGCCUCUUUUCGGUUUUCAUGGCAGAUCUUGUCAUCAUUUUAACUCCGAAAAUCCAGAACAGAACAACCAAGCACCAAGAUUUUAUGCAGGACAGGCUUACGAGGCAGCAAGUUCUAAAUGACGCCGCUGCCUCAUUAGCCUGCCCUGCAACCAUGAACCAAUACUCUGCGAUUACCCAAGUAUCAUCAAGAUUCUUACAAUCCUUCUACGAGGCAUGCCGAUCGAAGUCAGAUAUCUUUCUCUUUCACUUGGGAAAUCACACAUCUUUGAAAAAAAAAAUCCAAAUCUGCAUGAAUUAAUCAGUGCAUUUCCACCCAGUAACAAUAACAUUUUCAACUCAAAAGUUUCAUUUGCACAAUUACAUGUCAAUUCAUAACCACGAUGCCCUCGGACCCUAUCGCAACCUGGUAGCCUUAGUCAGCUGACUCACCGAAAUCAAAUUCCGCUUCAAACCCGGGACGUGCAUCACAUUGUGCAGCAUCCACGGAGCCCCACUCAGUAACUUGACAAGCACGUCACCUCUCCCAACAAUGUCCAAUGCCGCAAGGCCGGGUACACCUUUCCGUAGUUUCCGGCGGUGUACUUCUCCCUGAUUCCCUUGUGCGGCGAGCAGUGGAAGGCGACGCCGGGGGUGGUGAUCCCCGACUCCAGGGGGGAAUCGACGGUAAAAAACAAUGCUUCGUUGAUCACUUCGAUGGUGUUGGCGGCCCAACGGUGUGCUUCUUGGGCCUGAAACUCUGCCUGACGUGUCCUCAUUGGCCGCAGUGUAGGCAGGCGUCCGCCCAUUUUCCCAGACCCGAAUCCAUAGCAGGAGUCCUGGAUUUUCUCUCUCGGGAAGAAGAAACCUUAACAGCUAAUUGAUCGGGGCAUUUUUCGUUGGCCAUGACACCAAAACUUACUAGGAGUAGCAAAUGUGGAUGAGCAGUAGGGGAGAUUUUUCAGGAAUAUAGCUUGGUAUAUACUAAAUGUAAUAAUACAAUUUGUUGGAAAUUUCUGGUAUACCCAAUGUAAUAAUACAAUUGGUUGGAAAUAUGAAAAAAAAAUUUCAACCAAUUGUAUUAUGAUAUUUGGUGAACCGAGUCGUUUUCCAACAUACUGAAAAAUUUCUCAAGAAAUAGUGUAUGAGAACGCAAGAAACUUCGAUAAAUAUACUUAUUAGGACACGACAUGUGAGACAUGUGUAUAAAUUAUAGAGUCAAGUGAGACUAAAAUACAUAAGAGUCUCAUGCUUUUGUAAAAUGUGCUCCUAAAUGACGUGUUAUAUGGACCCAACUCCACAUCCAUAUCCCCAAGUUUUUCUCAUCUAAGAGAACCACCUUAGCUUAUGACAUGUGUAGCAAUCUCUCUCUAGGAUUCACAUCUAAAGGCAUUGGAUCCAAUGCCAUUUGUGGCCAUGUGAGCUUUUCUUAUGCAAUUCCUUCCUUUUUCUCUCUUAAUUUGCUUGUCUUGGUAUUUUCUAAUUAUCUAAUAUCAAUUAUGGAAACUUUUGGAACACUCCUCUAAUGGUUUAAUUAAUUAUUGCUUCUAAAGUUCAGUUCUUUAUUCUCUUUACUGUCUGAGUACCCAACUCACCAACCGGUAUUUAAUUAGUGCAUUUAUCCGCUUGAUUAUGUACUAAUCAGAAUCAUAUCCUUUCUUUCUCUUUACUUUCCACUUUAGUUUUAGUUACUUGAUGCAUUGAUCAUUGACUAAUUAUAAUCCACCACUACUUGGUAAGAGCUUUUUUUUUUUUUUUUUUUUUUUUUUUUUUUUGUAAUUUAUAACAAGGAGAAGAUUAACUACAAUCUGACGAGAAGAAGAUUAAACCCGUGAUUUAAGGAGUUGAAGAAAAAAUACGGUAAUCACUAAGGUAAUCCAUCACUUAUACACAACAAAACACUAGUCAAGCAUAACUACACACCAGGCAGCCUUCUCGGUUCUAAUAACUAUAAUUAGUUUCACAACAUCGGCAUGAUAUGCAAAAGAAGCUUAAUUUGCAAGCAUAUAGCAUACAUAACCAUCAUCGUUGAAAUCCAUACAUCAGCAUACAUGUUCAAAGUUCAAAUCAUCCAUCCAUACAUACACACAUCCCGACAUAUCCACCAUGCCCAUCUCACCCAAAGAGAAGAAGCCAAAAGAUAAAAUCGAAACCCUAAAUCAGACACAGUGCAUCAUGAACAAGGGCCACAUGAACAACUGACCACAUGCAUGCCUUUUAACCCUAGCACUGACCAACUUCCAUAAAAACAAAACAUACAUAUUGGUUAAAAAAAAACCCUUUUAUUAUCCAGCAACUUGCCCCACACACA